rnacentral:lncRNA from 1 species
AUAUUAAAUAAUUUUAGCUUAUGAAAAAUAUUUGAAUUUUGAAGAGGUUCAGAUAUUUUAAAUUGUAUCUGCAAACUUUUCAAGUGGGUUAGAUUAUUAAUCUCGGCCAAAAUGGGUUUAGCAACAGCAGAGCUAUCAUCACGCCAAAUCUCAAAGCCAUGGGGUAUAUGCAAUUCUUCAAGUCUGGAUAGGCUGGAAAUGGUAUUUGGCAUGAUUCUCAAUCCUUCCCCCGUAAUUUCUAGCUUUUGAAGGUAUUUCAGCUUUGAUAAAUCCAGAGGAUCUAGAAAAAUACCAUACAAAAUGCAAAGAGUUUGUAGGUUUUCAGGAAAAAAGCCAACAUUUUUGUUGUUAAUGUGAGUCACCUGACUCAGGUCACAACAAUCUAAAACCAACGUCCUUAGUUUACCCAAGGAUUGAAGAGUAGUGAACGGAAGCUUUGGAGGAUAACUGAGACCACCUUCAACAUAUAAAAAUCUCAGAUUCGAAGACAUGCUGAAAAAUCUGCCCUCGAGUGCAAAGGCUGAAAAAUCUAUAUCAUUUUUGCAUAGUAUCCACAAGCUAUGCAGAUUUGGGAAUACAAGAUCAUCAGGGAUAUGAAUAUUAUUACCAUCCAGAUCUAGACGUAAAUAUUUGGUAGUCUCAACAUCAGCAACAUCAAGCAACUGCACGUCACAUUUUACCUGUGAAAAUGCAAAUUUUGGAUCUUUGAACGCUAUAGAUCUCCCUACAGCUCUGAUGAGGUCAUGAAGUUUGAUCCUAUCAUCUUUUUUACAAUCGAGCAACAAAGAAGAUGAUCUGAGAGUAUCAACCAUUGAUAGUACCCUAGAUUCCCCAGAUACAAGCUGUGACCCGGUUGCCAACCGGAUAAGCUUCGAGAUCGGGAUGUCAGCAUCUUCGUUGAACAAGCAGCACAAAAAGAGACAUGACUUUGCAUCGUCUGGCAAUUGAUCGAUACUCAAUUUUACACAAAAAUAUACUUCUCGAUCUAUUCCAGAAAUCUUUUCAAAGCUACCCUUCUCAAGUUGUUCAAGUGCAUCCUCCCAUGAACUGAGAGAUUUGAAUUUCAAGGCUUUACCGACUGCAUGAAUUAGGAGUGGUAAACCCUUGCAUUUUUUACACACAUUUUUUGCCAGAGAUUCUUCCUGCAAAGAAUUAAAUCGAGCAGUACCGACCACUGCGCUAAACUGAUCCCACGCUUCAUCAUUUGACAGGGGUUUGAUCUUUACAGGAGUCUUGCAAUUGUUAUGCAAGCAUGCAUCUUUCUCCCGAGAUGUCAAGAGAAUCUUGGAACCCAUAGGACUCUUUCCAUCACCACAUGGAAUUCCAAUAACAUCCAGAGGAAUUUCCUUCCAUACAUCGUCGAGUAUGACGAGUGUCUUGCCUGCAUUCAAUAAACAUUGCUUCAGCUGAGAGGCUCUGCUUUCCGCAUUAUCUUUCGAAUCAAAGGUGCAACCAAGAUGCCCAGCAAUCUGUUCCUGUAGCUGUAUCACAUCCAGAAUUUCAUUACCCACGUUCCCUCUCGUGACCUUGUUAAAGAUCUUCUUCUCCUUGGCUUCUUUCCAUAGUUGUUCCAUCAUCCUGGUUUUCCCUACUCCGGGCAUUCCAUAUAUACCAAGGAUCAGAGAGCUAUCUGUGGUCAACGCUUGCCAUAGCUCCGCAUAAGCAUCUUUCCUGGAUUGAAAAUCCUGGAACUCUGUAGUACUUUUUGGUAAAUUUUCAUUUGGCGCAGGAUGUGCAAUUUCAUCAGCCAAGAGCUCCUUUCCCGAAUUAAUGAGCUCAGUCAGCCUCUCUGUCUUCUUCACCGCCUCUCUGCCGAGUCGAAACCGAGAGACAGGGUUAGGAAUAGGCAGACACUGAAUGAACCUCCAUGAAUGUCUGUUUUUGUAUCUUUCUGCAAACUCUUGGGCACUCUCCUUGAUUUCUUCAGCCUCUUUCUGCCACUUGAAUACACGAUCCUCCAUAAUUUUACCAUUAGCUCUUUCUGCAGCAACUUUUGUGGACACCCUUUCCUCCUCAGUGUUAGCUUUUUCGACUUGGGAGUCGAGAGUCUUGACAAGAUCCUUGUAACAGAACAUGUAACGGAAUCCACGGAAGAUGGUGUCAACUGCAGCAUCAGAUAUUCUGUCCACAAGUUUCCCCACGAAUGGAAUGUCAGAUAAACCAACCAUGAUUCUUACUUGCUUCUAAUUUUUUUUCCUGUAAUUGUGUAACAAGAUGCAGUAGAACAACUUAAAAUGCAAUUAAAGAAUAAGAGGGGAGAAGAAAAGGAGCAAACGGAACAGGAAGUCAAGCUGAGCAGUUGAAUAGUAAGGGAGCAGAAGAGCAGCAAGAAUGAGUGGUGGAUACACUGCGUUAUCUUGUAAUAUGACAAUACAAACAAACAAAGAUGAGAGUUUGAUUCUAUGAGUUGAAAUUUCAAAGCUACUUUAAAUCAAAUAGUAAAAUUAAAAGAUGCACAGUGGAAAACUUUGCUGGACAAUAAUUCUCCCAACAUUAUUGAGUUUCAAAAGGUAUAAUUUAAGUAAGGAUUGGAUCCCUAAGACACAUAUAUAAUUAAGUAGCAUACGUUUGCCGGAGAAAAAUUUAUGAAAAAUUACUUCUAGGUUUCACGUCCAACGCUUUUUUCACAAUGAACAUAUGCUACUAUUAUAUGUUCUGGACUACCCUUUAAGUAAAUGGUGGACCAAUUGAGUUUCAGAAAGCAUCAAUCUAAGUAAAUGGGUGGACCAAAAAAGCUCCGCGGCAGCCUUGUUUUCUUAUCGUUCCAGCUAGUCAAAAUACAUUAAGAGCAUUUUUGUUUAAACUUUUAAGUAAUGAUUCUCACUCUCAAGUUAAAGUUUCUACACGCGGUUUAAAGUUUAAACCGUACGUCUACACUUACGAGGUCUUGUCCUGUUGUCAUUUUGCAUAGCUUGGUGAAUCGGACUAUGGCACGGUGUUCUGUUGUUCAGUUUUCGUUGUUGAAUGGUGUACUGCCUAAGGACACAGCCUUAAAAAUUUUUACUAAUUGAAGUUUGGGAGGGUUAGGUUGUCCAAGUAUUUUAACUUCAUGGUCGGAUGUUAUUUUGAGUUUUAUAAAACUUGUUUCACAUGCAAUGCAAUCAAUUCUCCUUUGUAACUCAUUCAAGGUUGCAACAAUUUGUUUAUGUCUCAGAUGUAAUUUCAAAAAUGUUUGGUAAAACAACUGCAGUAGUUAGUUACUCUGCAGUGCUCGAUCAUCACCUCGGUGAUACAGUUUCCAUUACUGGUAUUGGGUAAUAAACAGAUUGGUGCUCAUUUUGGACUAGUUGAUGAAUUAUACAUUCACACAUUUGGACUACUCGAAUGCUAGUAAUCUUGAGCAAGUCUAAUAGUUACCUAUCCUAUUACUUAUAAAUAAUAUUAAAUAAUAUAAAAUAAUGAGUGCUAGUAUGUCUUAGUGAUUUAGGUAAUCUAUUUUAGUGUCAACUCCAAUAGUAAUCCUUCUAUUUGUUCUCCUAAGAUUAUUUUAAUAAUAAAUUUGAGAGAGAAAAAGGGGAAAAGAAGAGAAUAGACAAAGAAAAAGGAGAGAGAUGAUUAUUUUAUUCAUAAAUAUUAAAUAGAUAAUGCCUAGGGGCUACUUAUAAAUAGGUAAUGGCUAGGAGAAUUAAGGUUGUGCGAGCGAUUUAGGAUAACACUAGGAUAGUGUUGGAGUGCAUUUUUUUGACACAUUACCUAAAUGUGAGUUUAGGACAUCAUAUAAGUAACCUAUUGGACUUGCUCUGGCCUCCUUUUUAAUAUUUCAUCAUAAAGGGAUAAUUAAAUUAUAGCUCUAUGAACUAUUGACGUUUUAUUGUCUAGGUUCCUGAAUUAAAGAUUCGGUAUUUUAGGUCACUUAACUUUUCUGUUUUCUUAUCUAAGUCCUUCCGUCAAAUAGAUUCUAACGGUGUUAACUAGGGUUCUUGAUGUUACUACGGAUCCAAGCAAUUUUGAAGGUGUUAGUGAUAUCCAAAUUUAAAGUUCAAGUAGUCAAAUUAAAGUUUGAAUCACUAGCGACCCUCAUAUGACACCAAUUUUCACAAAUUGGAUUUAAUUUAGAAAACCCUAAAUUAGACCAUAAAUUUAAGGUUUGUUAGGUCCAAAGUAUCGUAGAAGGGGGGGUUGAAUACGAUACUCACUACAAUUUAAAAUUCUUUCGAAUCUUGCGGAUAAAUAAAUUGCAGUCUGUAAUGGGUUUCGUGUUCCGGAUAUUUAUUGGGUCGGUUUCUGAGGAUAUGAAAAUAUUAAACCAACACACAAUAUUUUCCAAGGUAUAUCUGUAUAUUGAUAAAUACCUCGAAGGGUGCUACAAAUCCAAACCCGAAGGUUGGCUACAAUGACCACUACUCUCAAUAUUACAAACUCUAACCGCUACGGAUAUUUCUAUUACAAAGCUAGACUAGAGUGUAUAUAUAGUGGGAGUAGCCGUGCAGAGCACUUGGCCAUUUCAUCCCGAAGGAUGAUCUAAAUUGUGAGAACCACAAUCACAUAUUUAUAGGCUUUCAUAAACUAACCAUGGUUAACGAGUUCGUCCUGGACGACUUGAGUUCGUCCUGGACGAGUUCGAUUUAUCAAAAUAAAUCUAACUCCAAAUGUAUGCAGGAAGUGGCGCCAACUUUAUAUACAUAUAUAUUUGUAUAUAUAUAUAACAAAGUUGCGCCUCAAUCACCACUUACUGCAUUGCCUUUACUUGGAAUAAAUCUAAGUAGAUGGUGUGAAGGAGAGUGCAAGGACAGGAGGCGCAACAUUUGACUUUUGGUCAAAUGUUGCGCUUCAACCUUCAGUAUACAAUGCUCUCUUGAAUUUGCACUUAGAGAAUUCUUCAGGGAGGAAAGUUGCGCUUGGACGAGAGUGAGAGUGGGUGGCGCCAACUUUGACCUCGAGUCAAACGUUGCGCCCACACCGGUAUAUGUACACUGUAUGUAUUAUGGGGAGCCUUGCCUUAGUUUCUUUAAACCACAAUUUGAAUUGGCGCCUCACUAGUGAAGGAACUCCCCUUGAUCUCUCUCCUUGGACCACCAUUGACUUGAACUUGCGCCUGUAUAUACACAGAGUGUGUAUAGGCGCAACUUCACUCAACACUUAGCCAAUAUUACUCAAAUGCUUGAGUUGGCGCUGUUGUUCCCACUGUGCACACUCUUAUCUCUUUUUAACUUGCGCUCAAAGGAGCCCUGUAUACUACUGCCUUAGAUUUAUUUCCACUUAGCUUCAACAGUAGAUACCAGGUGCUUUAGGGUUCAUGCACAUGCAAACCCUAGAGUGCCCUAGACACCUGACAUCAUCAUAUGCAUGCAUAAUAUAUAUAAUAUAAUAUAUUAUGUUGUGAUUAUAUUAAUAAAUAAAAGUAUAUAUAAAUAUAUACACACAUAUAUAUUAUUUAUAUGAACAUAUAAUAAUAUAUGUACAUAUAUUUAAAUAUAUUCUCAUAUAUUUAAAUAUAUAUAAUAUAUAAUUAUAUGUAAAUACAAAUGUAAAUAUAUAUAUAAAUAUAUAUAGAGAUAUAUAUAGUUAUUUAUAAAUAUAAAUAUAAACAUAAAUAUAUAUAAAGAAAAGUAUAUAUAAAUAUAUACAUAUAUAUAAUAUUUAUAUAAACAUAUAGUAACAUAUAUAUACACAUAUAUUUAAAUAUAUUCUCAUAUAUUUAAAUAUAUAUAAUAUACAUAUAACUAUGUGUAAAUAUAAAUAUAAAUAUAUAUAUAAAGAUAUAUAUAACUCUCUCUAAAUAUACAUAUAUUUAUGCACAUAAUAUAAUAUAUAUAUACACUUAAUUAUAUAAUUGCUUAUGUAAAAUAUAAAUACAUAUACUAUAUACAUAUAUAUUUAUUUAAAUAUACAUACAUAUAAAUAUACAUAUACAUAUGUUUAAAAACAUAUAUACAUAUAUAUUAUAUAUAUUAUAUUUAAUUAAAUAUACAUAUAUACAUAUAUAUAAAUAUAUUUGUACAUAUACAAAUAUAUAAGUGCACACAUAUAAAAGAUAGGUCACUUCCUGAUAUGGCUUUGUGUGGAAGCUUGACAUAUGACAUUUGAGCAGUAGACUUGAUACAGCUUGCAGAGGCUAGGCAUUUGGCUUGGCUUUGGAACAAAUGACUUGUUAUGACUUGAUCAAUUCUUCGAUUGAUAAAUACUUUGCAAACUCCGUACGUGCUGACGCUUAGUGCACUGGUCUGGUUCACAAGCGACUAACACUGAAGUCAAACAUUGUACCGUCUUUGUCAGCAAACAUUGAUCAGUCGGUUCCGGGUUAGUUUAUGCUUCAGUUUGUUGAUUAUAAAUAACCAACCAAGAUAUAUAGAAAUAUCUUGCUUCAGGGGUUGCACUGAAAUCUUUCGAGUACUUGGACAACAUCUUCAUUGCUUCCACAAUCUUGAAUACUUCAAUCUUUAUUCUUCACUGAGGCAUGAACAUAUUAAUGAACUUCUUCCAGUGAACUUAUUCCUUCAAGACUGUAGAUGGCUUCUUCAACCUUUGUCUUCGUAUCUUCCGAUUCCGGUGCAGGCGUAGUGUUAUUUACUUGUCCUGUUCUAUUGUUGAGUUAUCAUCCCUAUGUAACAGAUAGGGUUGUCUUUACAUUUAGACUUACAAUAUCCCCCUAUUUGUUUGUUAAUCAUAACAAGCAAAUCCUCUGGAGGAUAACUCAACUAACACUAGAAAAAGUAAAGUCCUGGACUAGUAAAUAAUGCUACAAAGUUUCUGGAUCAUAUAAUACAUUUCCAGAUUUCAUGAAUAGAAAUAACAAAUGUGCAUAUCACCUUUAUUUCUCUGGUUCUUGCUUACCUGCCAGAUAAUCCUCAUAGUCUGUCUUGAAGAGAAUUCAAAACAUUCCAUUAUGCAAAGAACAAUCAGCAGCUUCAUUGAAUUCUUCAGUGGUAAUGAAUAAGUUCCUGUCUACCACUUACUGAAGAAUAAAUGUAUCACCUUAUACUUCUCCUCCCGUUACCUUGAUCAGGUUCCCCUUAGUGAUAAGUAGUUGUCUCCCCUUAGAUGAAAGAUCAAUCCUCCUCCUUAGUUGAAAGAAGAAUCUCCCCCUCAGUAGUACACAGCUAAAGAGUAGUUUAAUCCCCCUUAGUUGUAGACAGCAGAAGAAAGCUAACUUACUUUUUCUUCCCCCUUUCAUAUAUUCUCCCCCUAAAUAUAUUCUCCCCCUUAGUUGUGGAAUCCUCCGAGGAUAUGUGGUAUCAAAUAUGGUCAAGGAACGUGUACAAUACUUCCUGUACCAAAAGAUAAUCUCCCCAUAGAGAACUAAACAACGCUAAAGCUGGGGUCGAAGAAAGAGUUCAGAAGAAGGGUUUACUUUGAUUGGGUUGGUCCCUAUGCUGAAAGAAUAGGUUCCAAACGGAAAAGUAAUGAGUAAAAACUGACAUUCCAGUAACAACAUCCACUUUGUCUUUAGGUAUAAAUUUGGUAAUUAGUGGGUGUCUCACUAAAAUGUUCUGCAGGUGUAUCACUCAACACUCAAUUUUCUCUCGGUUUUUGGGUAAGGGUGUCACUCACGAGUUCUGUAAGUGUAUCCCUCCACACAAAUACUGAGCUUCCAAAAUGCUGAGUACCUGCAAGAAAAUCACCUUAGCCACCCUUAAAGGGGGUCACCGGUGGUGCAAUGGGAGUUCGUAAUUCCCAGUCCCUGCAGACUCAUCAGAUAAAUCCGAAUCAUGGUCCACAAGUUGCCAACCACUAAGUGGCUUAUCCAAUUAAGGAUCCAGAGUUGUUUGCUCUGGGAGGUUAGACAAAGGCUUAAUUAUGGCAAAGGCCUAAGUCCUCCUCAAUGUCUGUGAAGACACUUGAUUCAAGAGAAUCAUCAACCAUAAGUUCACACCGUGAAAUGGAAUGAACCGUAGUUGCUUCCGUCAAUUCUUUCAACAACUUGUGAGCUUUCAAUACCAAUUAUUAUUAUAUGUACCUCACAAGUGUUUCACUCUUCUCAAUAUCCUAUGUGUUUGCACUCACUCAUGCUCACAUAUUUCUCAUUCUGAUAUCUCACUGGUUCUUCUCAGAAUCUCACCAAGUGUUUAACUCUCAGUGUUUGGCUCACAGUGUUUCUCUCAGCACUCAAAGUAUGGUCUUCUGUACCUGCAUGAGAAAAUCACCAUAGCCCCUUCAAGAGAGGUCACUGGCGGUGCAAUGGGGUUUCGUAAAUCCCCGAUCCUCAACUGACUCAUCAAUAAAUUGACUCAUAGUCAGAGAGUUGCCGAUCUCCUAUAAAUAGGAAAUCCAUUCCGAUUGGAUCCAGAUCUGUUCUUAUCUGGGGAGGGAGACGAGAAUCCUGAAGAUUUGGCAAUUGAGAUCCUCGUUUCCUCCUUACACCUGUAAAGGCAUCAACCAUCUUAUCUACCGUAAAAUGGUAAAUGAAGAAGUUGCUUCUGGAACAAAACCUUUAACCUUACUGUGCACUCUCUUGUAUUGUGUCCAUAAGAUUUUUUUUUUAGGCUCUUCAUCAGAGUGAUUACUGAUGAUGUGCUUGACUCAAUACAAGAUGCUCUGGCUGACGAGCGAAUUUCAAUGGACUCAUCCUGUUGAGAGAAUGAUUCCAGAGACUGUUUUAUUGCCUUUUCAGCUCUAUAUUCUUUUGAGAGAAUACAGAUGAGCAACAGUUACCUCAAGUUUGAAAACACCUUUUCUUCUUGAGAGGUAGAGCUGUGGGUACACUAUCCCUCACAUCCUUAUUUGCUGCAACAAGUACAGUUUCUCCCUCAUUGACCUCUAGUCUAAUAAGUUCCUUAUUACUCCAGGGGGAAAGUUGGGAUGUGUUCUGAAUUUGGUUUUAUAGUCUGGGAUAAAGAUUGUUGGUUUUCAACCUUAUGACUAUCUAGGAAAGCCAAGAGGCUGAUUAAGUUCCGAAGAACAGAAAGAGAUAUAAAUGCAUUUUAGAAAAUCUAUGAUUUUGAAUGAAAGCAAUUGCAUUUAAUCUUUUGAGGAAAAAUGAAUCAGUUGUGAUUGUAAAAAUGAUUUUCAUAAAGAAUGACAAUCACAACCGAUGAAAGAAUCAAAGUUUUCCAUUAAAAACUGGUUUGAGUACGAGAGUCUGAAUCUAUGCAUAAAAGGUUUAAAUGAACUUGUCUUUGAAAAAGACACAGACUCCUGUUUCUCACUACAAUUUAAAAAAGAAACAAGAAAAUUUAUGCGCUACAGUGUAUAAAGCACUCGCCACACUAAUUAGUGAAAAGGCCUCAUACUAGCACAUCGUCAAAACAGACGCUGCAAGUGACAAAGAUCACCAAGUACACAAAUACAAGAUAAUCAAUGUCUCGUCCUAUGACGCUACAUGUAUAGAUGCAAAAUAUUCUAAGAAAUAUUUAUGAAAUAGAGUAGUGGAUACCAAUUGUUGAAAUCAAUUGAUAAGAAAAUUUCUUUGAAGAAACUCACCACUCCAGAACAUAAAUAUGAGACAGAAUAAAGAUUAUGUUGUCUCCCUUGUACUCAGAAUAUUAAACACCUAAAAUAUAUUAGCACCAGUGGUUUUAAGAAAUAUGCAACAAUAUUUCACCAGUGCCAAUACAUCACAAUCAAUUCACAAAUAAAACAUCAAUAAAGCAUCAAAAAUAGAUACCAAUUAAAUAUUUCAAAAAUGAAUUAAUCAUGCUUCUAUUAUUCUAUCAAAGUCAAUCAUGAAACAAAUAAGCAUAUAAUUGUCAUGGAUCACAAUUUAACUAAGAUAAAAUAAUAAUUACCUACGCAAUAUCAUAUAAUUAUCAGAUCAGCAUAUAACAACUAAAAUCAUGACAAUCAUACAAAGAUAUUCGCAAGCCCGAGGGAAAGUUGAAGAAAAGUUCACGAGUCUUAUACAGAUAAUCAUUAAACACAAGUGAACUCACACAACUCCUCGCAGAAAAUAUUAACACUUAAUAUUAGUGAUCUACAUAUAAGCAUGCAAAAAUAUCACUAACACUAAAAGUAUCACAACUAUAUGCAGUUAGACAUGAAAUAAAAUAUCAAUUAAUAAAUCAUCAAAUAUCCAACACAAAUAGUUAUGCUUCAAGUAUAUACACUAAUAUAAAUGGAUUCAGCCUAGAGAGAAUCUAAGUAACUCCACAAAUACUAGUAUAUCAUGACUAAAUUCUAACUAGAUUCUAACCACAUACCAAUUACUGAUACAAGUCACAAGUCUAGAAACAAAUAAGUCAUGCUUCAGAUUUUAUACCUAUAAAAAUGAAUUCAACCUAGAAAAUAAUCCUAAGUAUGUUCACAAAUACAGAUAUAUCACGACUAGAUUAUGACAAAGUUCUCUACUAGAUACCAAUUGUUGAAGAGGUAUAGAUCAAGAAAAAUAACAUAAUUAAGUCAUGCUUCAUGUCAUCUCUAAUCAUUUAAAUCAUGAACAAAUAAGUCACUUAAUUGUCAUGCAACACAAUUUAAAUAAUUUGAAAUAACAAAUACUCAUGCUAAAACAUAUAAUCACCAUCUAAGCAUGCAAAUCAAUAAACAUGGCAAUCAUAUAUAAUAGCAAAAAGCACGAGGUACUGGAUUUUAAAUAAAUUCACAAGUCCUAUGUAUAGACAAUUUAAUACUCAUGAAUUCAUUCAAGAAAUACGAUAGACAUGCUCAUGAAAGAAGUAAUACCUUAUAGAAAAUAUAGUAUGUGAUCUACUUGCAGUUAAGUAAAGUGAUAAGUUGAAUACCUCUGAGACUUGACAUUUCAGUUGAUGUACCUUUCUUGUACUGAUCAAGUCCAGUGGUUGUUGGCAUAAGUCUUGGCAGGUCUAGAAUCUUCCAAAAUGCGCAUAUUCAAAAGAUCCUUGACUUCCUUUUAUUGCCAUCAUUCUUUAGGCUAACUAGUAGACCAUAAAGAAUUGCAACUUUCCAACAAACUCAUCAUAUCACUAAUCUGCAUUCACUUAGCAAUUAUCUUGCACAAGUGACGUUAGUCCACAUAUAAUAUAAUCAUGGUAUCACAGCACAGAUAGUUGUAUUGUGUGUGCCUUGUAUCAUGAGAGGUAAUAAUUUGGAUACCAAAUAUGACUCUAGCAAACAGAUAUUAAAAUAAUAUGCUAGUCAGAAGUCAUACCAUGUCCGUGACGAUCAUCAGGUGUUGGAUAGCAACUCAUAGAGAGCUGGUGAAGAAAGAGAAUACAAAUUCCGUUGGAUCUGCAACUGCAAAGUCCUUGAAAUGUUGCAUGAAGCUUCAUCUUCUAGCUCACUGUAAUAUCCUGAACCCGAGUCUCGUCAAUGGUGCUUUAGUUCAAUCAUGAAGGUCGUUGAGUCCCCUAAGAUGUAGAGUCCUGAACUUGAAGAUUCUAUUUCCAUCAUCUUCAUAACCUUCUCCUUUGUAGUAACUCUAAGCAACCAAAUUGGCUUGUCCCUCGUAACAGAGCCAAAAACAUCCAGUUGGAAUCUAAAUACCCGACAAGUACUAAGUACUGAAUUGUCAUUAGGUCAGGGUAUCAGACUCCGCACAAUCUGCUUUCAAACUGACUGAGAUCAUCUUGCUGUGCAAUCACUCAAUCUGGAUCCCAUUAAGAGCUUCUGAAUCUUCCUCAAGUUUCACUUCAGAUUGAAACCCAAAGAAAUAACAUCCUUUCACAAUAGCUCUCCCAGUCUUCACUUCACCGUUAGGAACAUUUAAGAACUAGAACCCGGGAAUGAUAUUGACUCCAAACCCUUUGUCUAAGCAGAUACGUUCUUGAUAUGUCCUGUUCAUCUUGUGUGGUGUUGAGUUUGACUAGUGGAUCUACCAAAUGCUCCCCCUAAGCUGUUGCUGGGAUUUCUUUAAUAAUCCUUAUCCUUGCAAAGAGAUUCUGCUUGGAUCUGAAUCAUUAUUAUACCAAUAAUAUCACCUUUAACAGCUUGGAGCAAAGUGUCGUUCAAUGUCCUGUCCAGACUUACAAUCACCUUCUGUUGAUUAAUCACAAUCACCCUGUAGACUGUAGACUCCAUAGAGUAGCCGAGGAAAAUAUUCUUUGAUCUUCAAAUGCAAGACUUGCAAAGAGGCAUUUUCCUCCAAACACAUACCAAGAGUUAGUGUUUGCUUCUGAUUGGCCACUGACAAGAAUGGUGUCUUUCUGGAUUUAUCAAUGAUCAGGGUUCAUCUUGAUCAACCUUCAUUUGUGACGUCUUGUCCUUCGAACACAUACGAACAACACGAAAGAAUCUAGAGUAGUCAAUGAUCAUCGCAAAAAGAUAUCUGGCUUUGUUUGCAGACAUGACAUUAGCUGAUCCGUAGAAAUCCAUACGUAUCAUCUGAAGCGGCUCAGUAAUGUUGAUCAUAUCUUUGCUUCUGUGCGAUGCUCCUUCGACUUCCCUAUUGACAUACCUCAUAAUCUUCAUCCAUAUUGAAUUCCAGAUGAGGUAGUCCUCUCACCAAUUCUCUUCUUACGAAUAGAAAGAGCUCCUUGUUUUGACAUACAAGUGCGAGAGCUUCAAGUGCCAUAGCUAAUACUCAUCUGAUGAGGCUUCACUAUCAAAACAGCUCACUCCAUCUUCAGUUGAAGUUCCAUAUUAGCUACGAGCAAAAUUCACAUCCUUCCUGAUUUGAGAUAAAACACUAUUCCAUGAACUGACAUACUGUCAUUUGUUAGAGAACAGUCUGAUACUAGGAAUUUGUGUGCUUUGACUCUUCCAAGAAAGAUAUGCUUCCAUGAUGACAUUCCAGGAAAACAGGCAUGUCCCGCAAGAGAAUCUUUGUUGUCAUCUUUCAAAGAUUAUUGACGGAACUGCUCACAUGAUCACAUUUGCUAACAGGGUACUUUUGGUGAAUCAUAUGAUUUCAGCUACUCAGCAAACAGAGUGCACCAAAAAUCAUAUGGAACAUAUGUAACCUGCAAUCACAAAUGGAAAGAGUUCUAUGGUCCCCAAUCAUAACUGGGUCCGGAUGGAUUAGAGAUUUUUCUUUAACAGUGGUAACAACAGAAGCAACCUUAACAUGCUAAUUCUUAUCUAGACAUUGCCCUAAUGUGAUUCUCAAACAUGCUUUUCUAAAAUCAAUGCAAGUACAAAGACAUGCAUUCAUGACAUGAAAAUAAGCAGACAUGAUGUUGAAUACACAUGGCAAACAAUCAAAGAUAAGACAAGAGCAAGACAGGCAGUUAUGCAAUUCAGAAGAUUCAGUACUCUCUACUUAAACCAAUUAACACAAGUGCAACAGGUAGCAAGUAGAAUUACAUAUAUUCAAUAAUCUUCUAAAAGCAUAAGGAUCUGAUUCCAAUCUGUUGUUAUAUGGCAUUAUACUAUCUCUAUUACCUAAGUCAGUUUUAGAUCUAACAUGAAGUUCUAAAAGUUCUACUGACACAAGGUAGACAUUCCAUCAUAGAACAAAAUAAAAUCCUUAACAAACAAUUCAGAUUAGAUAAGCAAAUCUAAUUGUACUAGGGAAUCUGAAAGUAAGUGUUUUAACAAAGUUAUACAUGCUAGGAUCAUAACCCCUAAAACUAAGAGUUGUGUUCCAAAGGAAAGCUUCUAAUCUCACCAUUGCAAAUAAUCAAAUCCUAAAUAUUCAUACACAUGUUAAGAAUCUGCUAAAGACACAUGCACAAGAUUAUCAUCAAUCCUAGUUACCAGAACAGUGAUCUAGCAUACUAGUUCAACAUUAUCUAUUGUGAUGCUAUCAUGCUUGUGCUUGUGUGUUAAACAAUUCUACUCAGAGAUUUAUAACAUGCUUUGAAUAUAAAGAAAUAUGUAUUGCAUAGUUAGAAAGAAUUCGUACCUGAGAUGUGCGAGUUGAGUCAUCUUCAGAGAAUGCUAGGAUAGCCAGAUAACCAUAAUCAUCCUUCUCAUCAGCAACUGAUCCAGCUCACACCUUUCCUAAAAUAGCAUAAGAACUUGUUGUGAUGUUUCUUUCAAAACAUCCACUUGAAUUUCAGACAAGCCCUAUCAUCCUUGUUUGUCGAGGCUUCAAUAUAUAUAGCAACCCUUAUUUGCUAAAGAUACCAAACAAUAUUGUGUGUACUGACCAACUCAGUUUUCAAACAACCUGUCGAAUUGAACCCCGAAGAGUCUCUGAAACCAAUGGAUUCCAUCUGAAUCUGACAUGACUAAACCUCUCAGACAGUGUUAUGCUAAUCCUUGAAGUUCUGUCCUCACAUUCUUCAAAAGUGUUAACUUUCGUCGACUUGAGCUUCCUCAAAUUCAGCAGUUACAAACUCUUCUGUUCAAUCCUAAGGUUCUGACAUAAAUGCACGAAACUGAUUUGGUGCGGUAGUAACUCGAUAAUUAUAUCCUUAAACCUCCACAGUUCUCUGUCUUUGGUUCAGUUGAUUCUGGAUGGAUUUAGCAUUGAUACAAUUCACUGUGUAAUUGUAUAUCCCUGAAUCACUGAGUUAGAUUGAAAUCCCUUGAAGAUUCGUCCGUAAAAACUUCUCUUUUCCUACUACCAGUGGUGCCAUUCAAAGUUGACAUUCCGAGCCCUGGGAAGAUGCUUCACUGCAUAUAUAGCAAAUUCCCAUCCUGAUCUGGUGAUCUGAUGAUCAAGUCGGAGUAAUUACUCAGAUCAAGGCCUGAAGUACCUUCUUCAAAAUCCACUUUUAGUAGUACCAAAUUAGUCUUCAAUAGAAUCUUCUUCGAAUCACAAUCAGCUUUGUCGAACAUAGAAAACUGCUUCUAAUAAUCCUUUGAGAAAUCAAUUGGAUUGGGUCAUCAAUGUACUUCCAUUACCGGUUCUGAGAAUCUGGUAUUUGAAAGCCCGGUGUUUGUCUUGUAAUCUGUCAGCCUGAUCUGUCUCAACUAAAUGUCAAUCUGAUUUGUCUUGGAGUAGAAUAAUUAAAAAGGUUACGGGACACUUGAUUAUUUAAACUAAGUUUAAAUUAUAAAGAAAAUAAAUUUAAAAAUAAGUUUUAAAAGAUGAAAGAAAAUAAAGUAUAAAAUAAACUUAGUUAAAUCUAUAAAGUAAAUUUAAUUAUAUUUAAAAAAUAAAUUCAAAUAAAUUCAUAAUAAACUGAAUAAGUUUAGAAUAAAUUUAUUUCAAAUUCAUUUAGUAAAUAUAUUAAAAUUUAUUAGAUAAAUUUAAUUUUUGAAAAUAUUCAAGUGUCUCGUCUCCAAUUAAAUCAUAGCUUCCAGAACAAAUGAAAUUGGACCCUUGAACUUGAACUUAUAUUCAUAAUCAGUUAAAUCCUCUUAAAUUUAUAUUUUAUAUUUUAUCUUAAAUUUAAAUCAUAAACUAUACAAAUUUAAAUAAUAAAUUUAUAAAAAUUUAUGAUAAACUUGAUAAAGUCUAAGAGUAAACUUUACAAGUCUAAAAUAAAUUUAAGCAAAUUUAUUAAAUGAAUUUAGUAAAGUUUAUAAAGUAAAUUUAAUUAAGUUUAUAAGAUAAAUUUAAUUAAUUCAUAAUAAACUCAAUUAAUAAGUUUAAAAUAAAUUAAGUCAAAUUUAUAAAAUAAACUUAUUAAAAUUUAAAGUAUAAAUUUAUAAGUCCCGGUCCAAAGUUCAGUAUCCGACAGAUAAUCCUUGCUUAGGCCUACGGACAAAUUCAGCAACACAAACCGGAAGAACAUUUCCCCUAAUCAAAUAUCAAAAGCUAGGUUCUUGAUUUUCCGUACGAUAAGGAUCCUGAUUUGUAUAUCAAUCAGCCUGGCUCUGAUACCAAUUGUUAGGUCCAAAGUAUCGUAGAAGGGGGGGUUGAAUACGAUACUCACUACAAUUUAAAAUUCUUUCGAAUCUUGCGGAUAAAUAAAUUGCAGUCCUGUAAUGGGUUUCGUGUUCCGGAUAUUUAUUGGGUCGGUUUCUGAGGAUAUGAAAAUAUUAAACCAACACACAAUAUUUUCCAAGGUAUAUCUGUAUAUUGAUAAAUACCUCGAAGGUGCUACAAAUCCAAACCCGAAGGUUGGCUACAAUGACCACUCCUCUAAAUAUUACAAGCCCUAUCCACUACAAAUAUUUAUGGUACAAAACUAGGCUAGGGUGUGUGUAUAUUUGAGAGAGUUUGUGCAUAGCACUUGGCCAUCCAUCCCGAAGGAUGAUGUAAAUUGUGAGAACCACAAUCACAUAUUUAUAGGCUUUCAUAAACUAACCAUGGUUAACGAGUUCGUCCUGGACGGAUUGAGUUCGUCCUGGACGGAUUCGAUUUAACAAAAUAAAUCUAACUCCCAAGUACUUGAAUUGGUGCCAGGAGAUGUUGGUUUGGGGCGCAACAUUUGACCAAGUCAAAUGUUGCGCUUCAACAAUGUUGCGCUUCAUUGCUCCUCUGUUUGGUACUUAGAAAUAAUUCCAGUAACAAAAGUUGCGCCAUGAUUGUUGAUUAGAGGAGCAACAUUUGACCAGGUCAAAUGUUGUUCCAAUAUAGUGCAUCCCUUGUAGAGUUGUGACUUAGAAAUUAUUCUAAGUCACAAAGGGUUAGUGCCAAGAGUUGUUAGUAGAGGAGCAACAUUUGACCGGUCAAAUGUUGCGCCCGGGUCAAAUGUUGCGCCUGGGUCAAAUGUUGCGCCCGGGUCAAACCUUGCGCCUUGGUCAAAUGUUGCGCCAUAGAGUGUGCAAGAGGUAUAUGGUGACUUAGAGAAAUUCUAAGGCAAAUAUGAACUUGCUCCACCAUUGUAAUGCUUCCCCUGUUAUCUCUCAUCUCUUGGGGACGAACUUUGACUUUGGUCAAAGGUUGCGCCUCAAGAGUGCUAUGUCUUCACUGUGAUGUACUUAGAGAAUUUUCUAAGUGAGGAAGAGCUGUUGACUUCGGUCAAAUGUUGUUCCUCACAUAGUAAGAGCUUUCCUUGUUAUCACUCCUUUGACUGAGAUUGACUUGAGUUUGCUCCAUCCAUAUAUUUAUAUUAUAUUCAUAAUAUUAUAUAAAUAUAUGUAUAAAUAAAGAUAUAUAUAUAAAUGUAUAUAAAUAAUAUUUAUAUAAACAUAUAGUAAUAUAUAUAUAUACAUAUAUUUAAAUAUAUUCUCAUAUAUUUAAAUAUAUAUAAUAUACAUAAAAUUAUAUGUAAAUAUAAAUAUAAAUAUAUAUAGGGAUAUAUAUAUAAUUAUCUAUAGAUAUAAAUAUACACAUAUUUAUGCACAUAAUAUAAUAUAUAUAUAUACACUUAAAUAUAUAAAUGUUUAUGUAAAAUAUAAAUACAUAUACUAUAUACAUAUAUAUUUAUUUAAAUAUAUAUACAUAUAAAUAUACAUAUACAUAUGUUUAAAAACAUAUAUACAUAUAUAUUAUAUAUAUUAUAUUUAAUUAAAUAUACAUAUAUAUAUAUAUAAUUAUAUUUGUACAUAUACAAAUAUAUAAGUGCACACAUAUAUAAAAUGUCACUUCCUGAUAUGGCUUUCUGUGGAAGCUUUGACAUAUGGCAUUUGAGCAGUAAGCUUUGGCAUAGCUGGCAUUUGGCUUGGCUUGGCUUUGGAACAAAUGACUUGAUAUGACUGGAUCAAUUCUUCGAUCGAUAAAUACUUUGCAAAGCUCCGUACGUGCUGACGCUUAGUGCACUGGUCUGGUUCACAAGCGACUAACACUGAAGUUAAACAUUGUACCUUCUUUGUCAGCAAACAUUGAUCAGUCGGUUCCGGGUUAGUUUAUGCUUCAGUUUGUUGAUUAUAAAUAACCAACCAAGAUAUAUAGAAAUAUCUUGCUUCAGGGGUUGCACUGAAAUCUUUCGAGUACUUGGACAACAUCUUCAUUGCUUCCACAAUCUUGAAUACUUCAAUCUUUAUUCUUCACUGAGGCAUGAACAUAUUAAUGAACUUCUUCCAGUGAACUUAUUCCUUCAAGACUGUAGAUGGCUUCUUCAACCUUUGUCUUCGUAUCUUCCGAUUUCGGUGCAGGCGUAGUGUUAUUUACUUGUCCUGUUCUAUUGUUGAGUUAUCAUCCCUAUGUAACAGAUAGGGUUGUCUUUACAUUUAGACUUACAAGGUUUUUGAUCGAAUUCAGGGACCUAAAUUUAUAAUUUUUUGAAUUGGACCUAGUUUGUGAAAAUUGGUAUCAUAUGAGUGUCGCUUGCGACACAAACUUAAAUUUGACUACUUAGAACUCUAAAUUUGGAUAUCACUAACACCUUCAAAAUUGCUUUGAUCUGUAUGAAACUCAAGAACCCUAUUUAACACCGUUAGAAUCUUUUGACGAAAAGACUUUGAUCAGAAAACAGAAAAGUUAAAGUGAUCAAAAAUACGGAAUCUUUAGUUUAGGGACAUAAAACGUCAAUAUUUCAGGAAUCUAUAACUUAUUUUUUCCUAUAAUUGACAAGAUGUUUAUGUAAAUAUAUUUUUAUUAGGUGUUUAAAUAACUAUUUUAUUUAAGUAAGUUAAACCCUGAUGUGUUAAAUUAUAAUAACUAACCGCAAGCGCACGGUGUCUGUUGUAGUGCAGACUGGCAAAUGCGAGUCGUAUCCUCAAGGAGACAGAUGCUAUCAAUUUUAUUCAGUCACAGUCAAUUGUUUCCAGAUCAAACGAUUAUGAGAAAUAUUUUUUAACUAACUAAUACGACUAAAUAACACUAGCUAAAAAGACAAGAAAAUAAUAUAUUAAAAAUCCAGGGCAAUCAGGUCCACCAUGCUUACACAAUGACUGGCUCUAAGCUAAAGCAAUUAAAGCGGUCAUGCAACUAGAGUUUGUUAAUCUCUCUCAAGUAUCAACACUCUCGAAACAUGAUUACACAUAUAAUCACUUUGAGUAAUUGAAGCAAUGUUAAUCUCUCUCGAGUAUUAACGCUCUCAGAAAUCCAAUGAUGCUCUCGCAUUCAAAUUCAAUUAUGCUAAUCGUAUGUGUGCCUCUAGUGGUAUAUCUCUCGAUUAUACUCCUAUUCGCAUAGAAUCAAUUUAUGAUAUCGGCCGAUUACACAAAUCAAUAUUAAAACAUAUUCAACUAGAAUUAACCAAUCAAUCAAAUCAUUGUUAAAUCAUGCCAAGAUCAUAGUGCAAACAUGGCUUCCCCUUAAGCCCUAGAACACACUACUCGACAAUAAUAAAAUAACUAAAACAAGUAGAAUAAUAAAGACAUAUAAUUAUAAGCCUCUCUACCUAAUCCUAAUUCUAAUCUAAUAUUGUACAAUGAUAAAAACUAUUCCUAUAUUUCAAAUAAUAAAAGUCUUUUUAAUAUUUAAAACUAAUAUACAAAUAGAAAUCCAAAACAAGAUAGGAUUUUCUCUCAAAAUUCGUAACUGACUUUGCUGCUCUGUUUUCGGGCCUUUUCAGUUGGACUUUGCUUCUUGGACCACUUCUGAAUUAAAGAAAAUUGCAAGGGCUUCGCGUGGGCUAUAAGAACGUCCAAAUCUGACAUCCGGAACUCAAGAUAUGGCCCAAACAUGGUAGAAAUCGGGUUGAACCCAAUAAAUCCGAAUUUUAGUAGAAAUUAGCUCCAAAAUAGCUAAUUUAUCUUCAAAUCCUUCUCAACUUAAAAUUCUUUAUUUCCUACAAUAAAACAAUAAAAAUCUAUUAAAUAAUAUCCAAAUCAAUGCAAAAUACAAUUAAAUAUAAGAAUAAAAUCAUAUAGAAUAUAUAUAAAAAUAUAUUCUAUCAAACAUCCCCACACUAAGCUUUUGCACGUCCUCGGGCAAAUAAGCGAAAUAAAAACUAAUUCCUAACUAACACCACUUUCGUAGAUGACACGAUUGCAUUGAGCGCAUGCAACAAGCCGUUACACCCCUAGGCAGCCCUAAUAGGUAGAGUUUUGUCUCGUGAGGGUUUAUAGUGAAUCUACCCACAAAAUUCAUUAUUUUCUACCAAGCGUCAAAUAUGCAACUACUAUGAAUGCAAACUAAAUGGAUAUGCCUAAAAACAAAUCAUGAAAGCAUCAACCUCGUCAAUAUAUAAUCCUCAGAAUAUGCAACAAUCAAGGCAUUCAUCUAUCUCACAUUUUAGUCGUGCAACUCUUCCACUGCAAGUGCGGAGUGCAUCGUGUGUGCUCAAUAUGCUCUCUAGUGAAACAAAACAGAGACCAACAAACUUCAACAGAGUCUUAACCAUGAGUCGUUAAUCAGAAUAAUGCUUAAACAUUUCGUUACAUUAGAGUCAACUACAGCUCAGGGUCGCAAAGAAUUUCUAUGCCUCUCUUAUUUUUAUUUUUUAUCUUUUCUUUUUCAUGCUCGGUCUAAGGUCGGGACGCUUCUCAGGGUAAGUGAGUUACGACAACCACAAGACUUUGCUAGCUCAUUUUUUCUAUUUUUUUUAAGUCAAGUAAUUCUCCAGUAACCAAGGGCUGUGAAAAGUCACCAACAAAAAUUAUUUCUAGUACAAUUGCACUUAAUACCACAGAUGCAAGGUUCAAAUCCCAGCUACCUCAUCUCUUUUUGACAUAAGUAAAUAGCCUGCUGCGAAUUUACCAUUAGACUGGAUCAUAGCAAGUCGAAUGGGCGGCAAGCAGCGGACCAAAAUCAGUUGGACUGGGCCUAGUGUGUAUGUGCUGAUGGGUCAGGUGGGCUGAGCUGCUUGAAGGAUGGGCUCGAGUUGAGAAUGGGCUACACCUGGACUCGAAUGAACUGGACUGUGGGCUGAGCUUGAUUAAUCCAGAAGGUCGGGACGCCAGUAUGCUAAAAAUUGAUUGUCGGUGUAGGCAGUCAUGCGCGCACCAAGAGAUCAGUAGAUUCUGCACCGCAGUUAGAUAUGAGAGAACCACAGCUCUUUCUUUCCUGGCGAACAGUAUUAAAAUACCAGUUUGCUUCUUUUUUUUUUCUCUUUUUUUUUAUUCUUUUCUUUUUCCCGCGUCUUCUCACGCAAAUAGAAAUAUCCGUAUCAACCUUAGGCCGCUUGGUCAGUUUUUGCCGGCUCAAUAUUUUGUUUUUUAUCUCUGAAACACUUCACACAAAUUCAUCAAGGCAUCUUAUGGGAGUAAAAAAAAUAGCAAAAAUAAAAUCUAACUAAUAUAAUAAUUUUGGGUUGCCUCCCAAUAAGCGCUCUUUUAGAGUCAUUAGCUUGACUUCAAACCUCAAAAAUUAUCUGAUGCAAGUGUAAAAGUGGGAGUAUCCACUUUCUCGAAUAUAAUCUCACCACCAUGAAUAAAGUCAUGAGCAUUAAAGAUUGUUUUUAUCCUGCAGAAAGUCUCCAAACAAGCAUUAGUAAACUUAAUUGUCACAUCAAAAAGUAACAGUUGAUCAAAAUAUUUCGUAGAUUUGGAGAACUUUAUGAUAAAACAACGAUAGAAUUCACAUCCAUGAAGAGAUUGAACUUCCUUGAUAUUCACACGAGGUGGAGGCUCGGGUGGUGGUUUUUCAGAACUCCUCACUUUCGCAGGAGUCAGUUGAACUUCUUGACAUUUCACGUCAAUGUAUAGAGAGUCAAUAUUGCAGUCUCCUUCUUCCGAGAAUUGAAGAGUAAGAGCUUUUCGGAUUGGAUCACCAAGAAACUUUUGAGAAAAAUAAUCAUGGACAAUUCUUGACAUCACGUUGACCUUGAAACCUGUAUUCUCAAGUAUAGGACUAGAGGUAAGAGUGAAAGAAAGGUUUUCAAAACCAAAACACUGAUCCACUUUACUUAUGUCAUCCAUCCGAGUAGGCAAUAAAAGUUUAGACGUAUAUGAUGGAAGAGACACAAGAACCAGCUUAGUAUUGCUUUCUUCGUUUACCUCAUCAUCACAUACAUGGUCUCUAACAACAACAUCAUUGAUUUUAUCAUCAGCAACAUGAUCUUCCUUUUUAUCAAUAGGCACAUCAUCAACACAAAUUGAAAAACUAUCACACUCUUCAUCACUUGCAAGAAUGAUAGUAUUUAUGUCAUCUUCAACCUGGAGAGACGAAGGUGGAGAAGAAUCGGGUUGCCAUGUAGUAAAAGAACCAGCCAAUUGUGCAAUUUGGGCCUCCAUCAUCAAUUGUUCAGCUUUUAGUUCUUUAAUCAUCAUGGCACUCUCUUCCAAGCUUUUCUGAAAGUUCACAAUACCAUCCUCAAAACUCUUGUUCAUAUAUAUCAACAUAUCACAUACCCCCUUUGUCUGAUUUGUUGGCACAUCUACAUUGGUUAAAGGAACCUGUAGCUCUUGUUGUAGUUGAGUAUAUGGAUAUUGUUGAAAUCGUGAUCGCUCGUAUUGAGGUUGAUAGUAUUGUUGCUCAUAUGGCUCAUAUUGUUGUAGUGGCGGUUCUUCAUAGUGUUGUUGCUGAAAUUGGUGUUGAUCAUGAUAUGAGAUAUUAUGAAAACCAUUGUCCAUGUACGAGAAAUCUGGUUGACUCGUCCAUUCUUGAUCAUAAGAGUUAGAAUACUGAUUGUACUCAUAUCCUUCUUGAUAAUCAUUCAUUGGUCCCAAUUGAGCAUUCUGAGAAUUGAAGACAUUGUACUAGCAUUCAUAAGCACGGUGACCCUGAACACCACAAACUUGAUAGAAGUUGUAAGUCUUAGGAGCAACUUGUGACAUCUCAUUGAUACUCAUUGGACUUGAAGUAGGCUUUGUAACAUUCGAUGAGGCAUAGUCACGAGUAUAUGCCUCAACCAUGGAAGAUAGAAGUGCAAAAUUAUCAGCUUCCUCCAUUGUAAACCUGAAACAAAAACACGAGCCAAGAAAACACAGUAAAAUCUACCUCACUUGGAACUAAAGUCCCAAAGAGGCGAAGGAAACAAUCUAAAUAACCAAACAAAAUCAAUAGAAGCUAGCCGUCUCCCCGGCAGCGGCGCCAAAAACUUGAUGUGUUAAAUUAUAAUAACUAACCGCAAGCGCACGGUGUCUGUUGUAGUGCAGACUGGCAAAUGCGAGUCGUAUCCUCAAGGAGACAGAUGCUAUCAAGAAAUAUUUUCCUUCUUUUUCACGCUACUUUUACUCUCAUAUCUCCUUUUUAUACCUUAAAAUCAAUGGUCCCAUCACUUCACCAUUUUUUUUUCUCUUUUUCACUAUUUUAUGCAUAUUUCUUAGCCUUCAUAUCCAAACCAGACGUAAAGAAUUGGCUGGGACCAACAUUUGCGAGUGAAAAUGCAACUUCUUAUGGAAUUUUUGAAACAAAUGCACUUUAAUAUACCUGCACAAAGUCAAGAUUGCUAUGUUAACAAUUCUUAUAUUUUACUUUUUACAAAUAAUUUUGAUUUAAUAUUCAAUUUUAUUUUAGAGAUUUUGGUAUUAAAAAUAAAUAUAUCUUUUAAUCAAAAUAUUUUAAAUGGGGACUAGUAAUGUGAUUUUUAAAAUAAAACUUUUAAAAAUAAAAUAUUUUGCUUUGACAUUUGAAUUACCCUUUUUUAUCAAGGAUUUUUUUUGUCAUAAGACUUUCACGUCAGUGAAUUGUACAGAAAUACAAUACCGAAAGAAUUGGAAGAGCUUUUUUCAUACAUAAAAACUUUCAUCUAACCAAAUGGCAUGUCAAAAAGCCCCACAAGAAAUUAGAUAAAAAUUUAUGAUGCCUGAAAAAAAACACUCGAAAGAAAACAAAAUCCGCGGAACUAAGAAGAAAGGAGAACUUUCAUUCAAAAAAGUCUAUCGACUAACCGAAGAUCAUGCAGAGAUGGCCCCGGAAAUUUAGCCAAUAAAACUUUAAUGACUGAGAAGAUCAGAAGAAAACCCAGAUGAAGAACAAAAAUCCGCGGAAAUGAAGAAAAUAAGGUGGAGACGAAAAAAGGAGGAAGAAAUAAAAAAACAAGCAUGAAAGAUUAUGCUAGGCACCAAAACAAAGUCAUCUAAAAUGACACAAUCGUUAAAAUAACGACAACCAAAAUCGCAAUAUACGAUCAAGAAGCCAUCAACCAUGGCACUCCCUCAAAAGGAACACAAAGAAUCAAACUAAAGAUACAACAUGUCCAAAACACAAUUUACGAUACAAAGUCUUUUAAAUCUAGUAAUAAACGAGACACAAAAUUCAAUUAAGAAAAUAUAACCAAUAACAAAGGAAAUAAGAUAAAUACAUUUAAAACUGUAAGAAUAAAGAUUUUGAACUCAUGCCAUUAUCGUGGGGUCAAUUCACACGAUCCUUACCUUACCGAAUAUAAAUAUAUGUAGAUACCGGAAAUGGCUAAAACUGAAUCGCAGUCGCUAACUCGUCAUUGACUCAUCCCAAUUGAUUCAUCCCAAAUCAAAAUUUUGAAAAUCGAGUAGAUCUAAUAUCCAAGUUAGAUCUGUUGGGGGUAUUAUUGAGAAAAUAAGAAUAAAUCAAGAGAAAUUAACUGAUUUGGAGUUUUUCAUCGGAGAAAAUCGAUGAAACCUCCGACGCUGGCUAGUAAAGAAAGAGAGGGUUUGAGGAGCUGUGAGUUUUAUUCAUGAGAGUGCUUGAAACAAAGGUUCUUUGUAAAUCACACAUGAAAUAUUAUCAUUGUUGAAGCUUGAUUACUAUUGCUAUGCUUGAUUUACUAUGAAUUGAAGCUUAAUUGACAGCGAUUGAAGGUCGAUUCUCAUUUACAUCUUAACAGUAUCCGAAUUUUAGAUACAUCUUUGAAUUCCUGUGCUUGUUUAAUUUUGCUUUUCUAAAUGUGUGAAUCGGAAAAAAAAAUGUCAGGAAAACUUUUUAUCAAGGAAAUUGAUUUCAUUAGUUUUCAAUAAGAAACAUAUAUGGGUUGAGAGUAGUUCAGUAGAGCUAUGCGUCUAUGGUGUCCUAGAUCUUGGAUUCAUUCUCACCUAGAAUACUCAUUAGUAUCCUUAUGUUUAUAAAAAAGACAAAAUAAAAACAAAUAAUACUCCAUUUGUUAUAAUAUAGUGAUUGCCAUGCAUGUGGUCAAUGAAUCAAAUAGUAGGGCUAUGAUUUAUAGGAGUAGAAUUUGUGUAUGCAUUUAAUGUUCUUGGCUUCUUGCAAAUUCACAUUGGCUAUAAAUAGCCACACUCGGUAAUGAAGAAAGAUGCACCCGAGCUUUCUUUCUAUGCUCAGCUUCUUACCUCCUUCUGUUAAAUUUAGUAGCUCUCCAGUUGUUCUUUUAUAGCUAGGAUAUUACAACACNGAUCAAGAAGCCAUCAACCAUGGCACUCCCUCAAAAGGAACACAAAGAAUCAAACUAAAGAUACAACAUGUCCAAAACACAAUUUACGAUACAAAGUCUUUUAAAUCUAGUAAUAAACGAGACACAAAAUUCAAUUAAGAAAAUAUAACCAAUAACAAAGGAAAUAAGAUAAAUACAUUUAAAACUGUAAGAAUAAAGAUUUUGAACUCAUGCCAUUAUCGUGGGGUCAAUUCACACGAUCCUUACCUUACCGAAUAUAAAUAUAUGUAGAUACCGGAAAUGGCUAAAACUGAAUCGCAGUCGCUAACUCGUCAUUGACUCAUCCCAAUUGAUUCAUCCCAAAUCAAAAUUUUGAAAAUCGAGUAGAUCUAAUAUCCAAGUUAGAUCUGUUGGGGGUAUUAUUGAGAAAAUAAGAAUAAAUCAAGAGAAAUUAACUGAUUUGGAGUUUUUCAUCGGAGAAAAUCGAUGAAACCUCCGACGCUGGCUAGUAAAGAAAGAGAGGGUUUGAGGAGCUGUGAGUUUUAUUCAUGAGAGUGCUUGAAACAAAGGUUCUUUGUAAAUCACACAUGAAAUAUUAUCAUUGUUGAAGCUUGAUUACUAUUGCUAUGCUUGAUUUACUAUGAAUUGAAGCUUAAUUGACAGCGAUUGAAGGUCGAUUCUCAUUUACAUCUUAACAGUAUCCGAAUUUUAGAUACAUCUUUGAAUUCCUGUGCUUGUUUAAUUUUGCUUUUCUAAAUGUGUGAAUCGGAAAAAAAAAUGUCAGGAAAACUUUUUAUCAAGGAAAUUGAUUUCAUUAGUUUUCAAUAAGAAACAUAUAUGGGUUGAGAGUAGUUCAGUAGAGCUAUGCGUCUAUGGUGUCCUAGAUCUUGGAUUCAUUCUCACCUAGAAUACUCAUUAGUAUCCUUAUGUUUAUAAAAAAGACAAAAUAAAAACAAAUAAUACUCCAUUUGUUAUAAUAUAGUGAUUGCCAUGCAUGUGGUCAAUGAAUCAAAUAGUAGGGCUAUGAUUUAUAGGAGUAGAAUUUGUGUAUGCAUUUAAUGUUCUUGGCUUCUUGCAAAUUCACAUUGGCUAUAAAUAGCCACACUCGGUAAUGAAGAAAGAUGCACCCGAGCUUUCUUUCUAUGCUCAGCUUCUUACCUCCUUCUGUUAAAUUUAGUAGCUCUCCAGUUGUUCUUUUAUAGCUAGGAUAUUACAACACGUUAUCAGCACGAAGCCCUGCCGGAACUGAGAAGGUAUAAUUUUAUUUAAAUGUACAUAUAUAUGAGUAGACGUGGUUAUACCCUCUACAAAAAAAAAAUUAAAUAUAUAUAACCGGAAUAGACGUGGUUACACCCUCUACUAAUAUUUUAACUACAUAUGGCCGGAGCACCGCCUAUUUACGGUACCAUAUAAUUUUGGGUAAUACCGAAAUAUAGUGGGAACCUUGAUUUAUAAAUUGCCUGCCUAUCGGAUAAUAAUUCUUUUGUGCCUAACUAACUUAUGCAGGAUUUUCCAUUUAAAUAUAUUAUUGGUUGGAGAUAACCUGUAUACGCAGGCGUCCGUAUGGCGGGUGAAAAUCCAUUUGUCAUUUUAUAUAUAGAUCUAUUUAUAAUAUCGAUGAUAAUAAUUAUGUACACAUUUAUUAUUGCUUACUUGUUAACGCACCAGAUUCAGUAGGAUUUUAUGUAAUAUUUAUAUUGAAAAUUUAAGUUAAUAAUUUUUGUGUUAAAUUCAGAUUAAAAUGACAAAUCUUACAAACUUGUCGUUCGUUGCGUUUGACAUUUCUGGGGAGAAUUAUCUAUCGUGGGUACAAGAUGUAAAGUUGCAUUUGGGUUCAAAGAAAUUAGGCAACACAAUAAAGGCAGAAAACACAUCCACAAUUGAAGAAAAUUUUACCUCUAUUAUUUUCCUUCGACACCACAUGCAUGAAGAUCUAAAAUCUGAGUACCUAGAAGUCGAGGAUCCCUUUAUUUUAUGGGAAAAUCUAAAUGAUAGGUUCGAUCAUCAGAAACUAGUUUAUCUACCUGCAGCUGAAAAUGAUUGGGCUAAUCUAAGGCUUCAAGGUUGUAGGAGUGUUCGGGCAUAUAGAUCAGCACUAUUCAAAAUAAGUUCUAGGCUCAUUAUGUGUGGUGAGAUUGUUACUGAGAAAAGAAAGAUCGACAAAAUAUUAUCCACUUUUCAUCCCAAUAAUAUCAACUUAGCCGAGAUGUACAGGGAGCGCAAGUUUACCAAGUUUGGGGAUCUCCUUUCAACCCUCCUUGUUGCCGAGCAGAAUCAUGAAUUGGUGAUUAAGAAUCAUCAAUCCCGUCCAACGGGAUCUGCCCCUUUACCAGAAGUAAAUAACACGACAUUCCAGCAGAAUGUACGUGGAAAAAGGCAUAGAGGUGGACGAGGCCAUGGUCGCUACCGUGGACGAGGCCGUGGUCGUGGGCAUUUUCGUCCUUAUUAUAGCUCUGGUCACCAGAAGUGGCAACCUGAAACACAGAGCAAAAGAAAGGCACCACAAGGAGGGAAAACUGACAAUUUAUGUCACAAGUGUGGAAUGGAAGGGCAUUGGUCACGUAAUUGUUAUAUCCCACAACAUCUUGUUGAUUUAUAUCAGUCAUCUAAAAGAUCAAAAGGGAAAAUGGUGGAAACCAAUUUCGCCAACAACUUAGAUGAUUCUCUUAUAAUAUCAACCGGGGGAAUAAGCGUUAAUGGUCCUAAUGAGACUAACGAAACUCACAUGUGGGAGGCUGAGGAUUAGUUUCAUAAAAUUAUUAGCAACCAGAGGAAUGAGCAUUAAUGGUCCGAAUUACUAUAGUUAAUAGUGUGUACUGUGUGCUUUAUUUUAUCUAUGUAAUGUGUUAUGUUCUUAUCAAAUAAAUCAUGUUUCUUAAUUAUAUACAGAAUGGAUUCUGAAGAUAUAUGCAUUGCUGAUUGUGGUACAACUCAUACGAUUCUACAAAAUAAAAAAUACUUUACCCAUAUAACCAAAACUGAAGCUCAAGUUGGAUCGAUUUCUGGCGUAUCUAAUAUAAUCGACGGGUUUGGAAAAGCUAGUUUCGUCUUACCUAAUGGUACACACAUACAUAUUCCAAAUGCAUUAUUUUCCAGUAAGUCCACUAGAAAUCUUCUUAGUUUUAAGGAUAUCAGAUUUAACAAUUUUCACAUCGAAACCACUUCUGAGGCUGGUAAAGAAUAUCUCCUUAUUACUUCUGCUAAUUCUAGCAACAAGAAAAUCUUAGAAAAGUUUCACUCACUUUCCUCAGGAUUAUAUAUGAUGAAAAUCAGAACCAUUGAGUCACACAAUGUCAUUGCUUCCAAACUCAUAGAUCCAAAAUCAUUUACCCUUUGGCAUGAAAGAUUAGGUCAUCCUGGAGUCUCUAUGAUGCGUCGUAUUAUAGAGAAUUCUACCGGACAUCCUCUUAGAGAUCUUAAAGUUCUUUCUAAAAAUGACCUUCAAUGUUCGGCAUGUUCUUUAGGAAAAUUGAUUACUCGGCCAUCUCCUACUAAAGUUAAGCUUGAAAGUCCAAGUUUUCUAGAAAGGAUACAGGGCGACAUAUGUGGACCGAUCCACCCAUCAUCUGGUCCAUUUAGGUACUUCAUGGUACUAAUAGAUGCCUCAACUAGAUGGUCUCAUGUUUGUCUUCUCUCAACUCGUAAUGAUGCUUUUGCAAAAUUACUUGCCCAGAUAAUCAAGUUGCGAGCUCAAUUCCCAGACCAUUGUAUUAAGUCAAUUCGUUUAGAUAAUGCCGGCGAGUUCACAUCUGCAACCUUUGUCGACUAUUGCAUGUCUGUAGGAAUUUCUGUUGAACACCCAGUUCCUCAUGUACAUACACAAAAUGGGUUAGCCGAGUCCUUUAUCAAAAGACUUCAACUUAUUGCAAGACCGUUGUUAUUGAAAGCCAAAUUACCUACAUCUAUUUGGGGUCAUGCAAUACUUCAUGCUGCUAAUCUUAUUAGGAUUAGACCAACUGCCUAUAAUCAACAUUCUCCACUACAGCUGGUACUUGGUCAAAUCCCUAAUAUUUCUCACUUCAAAAUCUUCGGAAGUGCUGUAUAUGUACCGAUUGCUCCACCACAGAGAUCGAAGAUGGGAGCUCAAAGAAGAAUAGGUAUCUAUGUUGGUUUUGAUUCAACAUCUAUAAUUAGAUAUCUUGAACCACUAACUGGAGACUUAUUUACUGCACGAUACGCAGAUUGUCAUUUUGACGAAUCUUUGUUUCCUCCCUUAGGGGGAGAUAAACAUGUGAAUAAGAUUAAUCCUGACAUAACAUGGAAUGCAUCGGGGUUACAUUUUCUAGAUCCACGUACCGGUCAAUGCGAACUUGAAGUUAAAAGAAUCAUCCAUAUGCAAAAUAUCGCAAACCAAAUGCCUGACGCAUUUAACGAUUCUAGAAAUGUAAUAAAAUCUCAUAUACCUGCAGUAAAUACUCCAGCUAGAGUAGAUAUACCAAUUCAAAAAUCAAGUACAAAUGAAUUGGUUACAGAUUCAAAGCCACGCCUGAAGCGUGGUAGACCGGUCGGUGCGAAAGAUGUUGCACCAAGAAAAAGAAAGACAAAGAAAAUUGCCCCUGAAGUGGCACAUGCUCCAGAAGAAGCAAAUACCCCCCGAAGUGGUAUUAUCUCCUGAAGAGAUUCCCGUCCCUGAAGAUUCGGGAUUAAACAAUCAUGAAAUUUCAAUAAAUUAUGUGCAUGAUAUGAAAUUAUGGGAUCGAAGUAAAGCCAUAAUCGAUGAUGUAUUUGUGUAUUCAGCGGCAUUGGAUGUCGACAUAAAUUCUGAUCCUGAACCACAAAGUGUGGAUGAAUGCCGUCGAAGAAAAGACUGGCUAAAAUGGAAAGACGCAAUUCAAACAGAAUUAAAUUCAUUGCGCAAAAGAGAAGUAUUUGGACCUGUUGUCCAAACACCAAUCGGUGUGAACCCUGUUGGGAAUAAAUGGGUAUUCAUAAGAAAACGAAAUGAAAAGAAUGAAAUUGUGAGAUAUAAAGCCCGACUUGUAGCACAAGGGUUUUCUCAAAGGCCUGGCAUUGAUUAUCAUGAGACAUACUCGCCAGUAAUGGAUGGAAUUACUUUUCGUUUUAUAUUAGGUAUGGCAUCGAAAGAAAAAUUGGAAACACGUCUUAUGGACGUUGUUACUGCAUACCUAUAUGGAUCACUUGAUAGUGAUAUUUUUAUGAAAAUCCCAGAAGGAUUAAAAAUGGAUGAGUUCAAGAAACCUCGUCAUAUAUACUCCAUUAAACUUCAACGAUCAUUGUAUGGAUUGAAACAAUCUGGUCGUAUGUGGUAUAACAGACUUAGUCGUUAUUUACAAAAGAAUGGGUAUAUUAGUAAUCAAAUUUGUCCAUGUGUUUUUAUCAAAAAAUCACAAUCUGGUUUUGUGAUUAUUGCUGUAUAUGUGGAUGAUUUAAACCUUGUAGGAACAGCUACAGAGGUUGAUGAAGCUGUCAUAUAUCUAAAGACAGAGUUUGAAAUGAAAGAUCUUGGGAAGACAAAAUAUUGUCUUGGUAUACAAGUCGAGCACUUGUCAUCAGGAAUUUUCCUCCACCAAUCUACAUAUACAGAAAAGGUUUUGAGCAGAUUUUACAUGGAUAAAUCUCAUCCGUUAACUACUCCAAUGGUGGUUAGAUCUUUAGAACCAGAUAAAGAUCCAUUUCGACCACGAGAAGAUGAUGAAGAAGUUCUUGGUCCUGAAAUCCCAUAUCUUGGAGCAAUUGGUGCACUUAUGUAUCUUGCGAAUAAUGCAAGGCCAGAUAUUGCCUUUGUUGUCAAUUUAUUGGCUAGAUUUAGCUCUGCUCCGAUGGCCAGACAUUGGAAUGGGAUCAAGCAUAUAUUUCGUUAUCUUCGUGGAACCGUUGAUUUUGGGUUAUUCUUUCCAGAGAACUCGACAUCUCAGUUGAUUGGAUAUGCAGACGCUGGAUAUCUGUCAGAUCCUCAUUUUGGCAAAUCACAAACUGGAUAUGUAUUCACAUAUUGCGGUACAGCCAUUUCCUGGAAAUCCACGAAGCAAACUACAGUGGCAACCUCAACAAAUCACUCAGAACUAAUUGCAAUUCACGAAGCCAGUAGAGAAUGUGUUUGGUUGAGAUCUAUUAUCAAGAAUAUUCAAGAAUCGUGUGGAUUACCGGACAUCACGAGAAGUCCUACUGUUAUGUUUGAGGAUAACACUGCAUGCAUUGAUCAACUCAAAGAGGGAAACAUCAAAGGAGACAGGACGAAGCACAUUUCACCAAAAUUCUUCUAUACUCAUGAGCUUCAAAAGAAUAGAGAAAUUGAUGUACAACAAAUUCAAUCAUGUGACAACCUUGCAGAUUUAUUCACAAAAUCAUUACCAAAUUCAACAUUUGCAAAGCUGCGACAUAACAUUGGAAUGCGUCGACUCAAGAAUAUGCUGCAACAAAACUCCAGUGAUUGAUGUUUUCUUCCAAGGGGAGAUUGUACUCUUUUUCCUUCGUUAAAGUUUUUAUCCCACUGGGUUUUUCUUUGACAAGGUUUUAACGAGGCAAUUGAUGAUCCACACUAUCAUGACAAUCAAAGGGGAGUGUUAUAAUAUAGUGAUUGCCAUGCAUGUGGUCAAUGAAUCAAAUAGUAGGGCUAUGAUUUAUAGGAGUAGAAUUUGUGUAUGCAUUUAAUGUUCUUGGCUUCUUGCAAAUUCACAUUGGCUAUAAAUAGCCACACUCGGUAAUGAAGAAAGAUGCACCCGAGCUUUCUUUCUAUGCUCAGCUUCUUACCUCCUUCUGUUAAAUUUAGUAGCUCUCCAGUUGUUCUUUUAUAGCUAGGAUAUUACAACACCAUUAGAAAUGUGCUAGAAAACGUGAAGGGAAUUUUGGAGUACUGAAUAGUCUAUUAAACAAAGACUUGUUCGUGCUCACAAGGCGUUUCAUCUCCCUCGAGCCUAAACCCUAAUUAAGCAAGGCUGAAGACCCGAAGUCCCUGAAGCCGAGACGCCGGUGGAAUAGAUAAAUUUACAACCGUUAACAUUUAGGGUUUAGGUUUGGGUUGCAGAAUGAUUAAUUCGUACUGUAUAUUAAAUUUGCAGACGGUUAGGGUUUAGGCUCGAAGGAGUAGGGCUGAUUAAUUCGUACUGUAUAUUAAAUUGGCCGACGGUUAGGGUUUAGGAUUGAGGGUGUAGGGCCGGUAGGCCCUACUCCCUGAGCCUAAACCCUAAUUAAUGCGAGGGUGCAGGGCCGAAGGCCCUAAAGCCGAGAAACCGGCGGAAUAAAUUAAUUUACAAUCGUUAACAUUUAGGGUUUAGGUUUGGGUUGCAGAAUAAUUAAUUCGUACUGUAUAUUAAAUUGGCUGACGUUUAGGGUUUAAGAUCGAGAGUUUGGGACCUAAGAUAAAUUAAUACAAUAAAUUAACUUUAUGGAAACGCUAACAUGUGUUGCGUUUUUGUUUAAUUAGAUAAAAUGAAAAUAAAAAGGUUAUAAAGGCAAUUGCUUUUGACGUUUGAUUCAAUUCAAUUUGUGGAUCCACGCGGCCCAGCCCACGGCUCACCAGAACGAAGCAGUGGUAACCCCAAAUCCAGACUUAAACGCUACUCCCUUUAGCGUUUUAUAUUCUUACAGAACCUUAAACGCUACUUUCAUUAGCGUUUAGCUUGUUUUAAAAAAAAUUAAAAACCUAAGACGCUCCACGAUGUAGCGUUUUGGUUAAAAAAAUCAAAACGCUACACCAUAUGCGUCUCUAAAUGUCAGUGAAGGCCAUUUAUCGGGUAUUUUGAUAUCCAAAAUUUGGUUAUUUGCACUACUAGAAAUUUCAUUAUUCCCAACGAAAUAUUAUGUUGGCAAAUCAAGAAAAUCCGUUGGUAAAAGAGAUUCCUAACCGAAUGCCCACUGAACUGGACCGUUAGAGUAUACGUUGUUGGGAAGCAACUCGCCAACCGAAUUAGGUGUCCGUUGCUAAGUUAGCAACCGAGUAGUAACAAUCUAGUAACAGACCUUUGUUUUGCAAAAUAACAAAAGAAACACCAUCCCACCAACAGAAUAUUUUGGUUGGCAAUUCUAGCAACAAAUGCCCAACGGGAAAUCCGAUGUUAAAUAUAGUCAAAAUUGUUAAAUUUAACAACAAAGAACUAACAGAUUCUUUCAGAUGUUAAAUUUCCGUUAGUAGAUAUAAACACAUUCUGUUGGUAUGCAUGCUUAAAUACAGUGCAAAUUUUUCAUUUUCUAGAAUUGUUCAUUUUUAUGUCUAUAGAAAUGCAAAUAAAAACAACAAAAGUGUACACUUUUCACAUAAUAAACAUUUCUUUACGAUCUUCAAAAUGAGGUAAGAGUUACCCGAUACAAUAGUGUUCAAGUACUAUAUCUAAAAGGAGCCAUCAAUUACUAACGAGGCUUGAAUACUAGCUAGUACUAACACGUAGCUAUUUGAUUCUCCAUGGCUUUCAUCUUAUCCCCAUCACAUUUAGUUCUUCAUGCAACUUCUGAUUUUUUGCAUCAGCAAAGGAUGGACAUCAAGGAAUCUCCGGCUUAUAAAAGAGAGAUUGCAAUGAACCAACUCCAUGGACCUUGUUAUCUCUUUUUUCUCACACAUGUAUUGGUACUUGUCAUCCACCUGCUCUCACGAAUAAAUUGAUAUCUUAGAUAAUCUUAUAUGUAGCUACCAAAAACUCAAGUACUUGCUAAAAAGCUGUUUAACAACUUUAUGAUAUAGAAUGCAGUGAAACCUCGAAUGCAGACACAAUCUCAGAGGCCUUAAGCCUAUUACUUGACUUCUAAUUAAUUGAAGAUUUGUGGGCAUUUUACAGAAGACCUCCUGAAUACUAUAUGAUUUACAUAAAAAUGUCAAGAAUCCACCGACUAAAGUUCUAGUCAAAUUCUUUAAAUUCGUAACUAAAAUUCAAAGGUAAAAGUUAAAGUUUUGUUAGAGAUUUCUACAUACAAUUGACAAGCAUAUUUUAUAACAAAAGUUUCAAUUAUUGAAAAUUAUCUAGAAGCAACAACAAAGAAAAACUCUGCUAUCACUAUAUACUUCUUCGAGAAAACACCCAAACUCUUCGAUAAAACUUUUUCCUUGUGGUUGGGAAUGCAAUGCAAGAUCAACAAGAGAUAACAUCUUAAGUGCCUUGGCAUCAAAUUCAUAGAUUAAGUUAGCACUAUGGGGCACAAACUUGUUCUGCAUACUUGUAAAUGCAUUAAGCAACGGUACUUGACCUUAAACAAACAAAAGAGAACAUCAAAGUGGAAAAAUGAGGUCUCUCCUCAUUGAAGUUCCAUAAUCAGGCAUGCAUAUUAAUAAAUUCAUUGUUAAACAUUAUAAUUUAGGGGAAGACAAUCAUAUUUGCUAUUACCGAAUCUAUUUUACGACAUCAAUGCAUAUAUCAAGUGUCAACAUAAAUUUAAUCUACAAGAACCAAUAACACAACUUGUUCCUCAAUUCAAUUUUACAAUAAGCUGCCCAUUCAGAACAAUAAUUACUUGUUAGAUUAUAUACAAGUAUACCAAGAACCCCCCAUAAUAUAAUCAGCAAAUGUCAAUUAAAAACAUAAAGGAACAAAACUAUACCUGAAGACUUGCACGAGAUGACCUCGAAAUCGGCCUUUUCUUGUUACCAUCUCCUUGCUAGCCGCUACUGCCGCAUCAGCUGUUUUUCCAGCUACUAAUCAAAGUGUUAGAUUCUGAAAAAAUGAAAAAAAAAACAGGGGAUUACAUACACACACAUCCAAAUCAAAAACCCACACAAAUAACAAAUCAACAAAUAGAAAAAAUAGGAAAUCAACAAAUCGAAACAUGAACAUGAAACCCGUAUAAAAACAUACAUAAACCUAAUUGUAAAAACAUCAAAAUCGAACCCACAUAACUUAUAAAACAUGAAAAUCGACCAAUCGAACCCCAAAAAUCAACAUCAUACUAGAGAAAAGCGGAGUAAAACCCUAAGGGUAACUAAUUUGAUAACUAAAUCGACGGAUCUACACAAAAAAAUUCAUUCUCGAACAGCAGCGUCAUAAGUAUGAUCAUUUUGAAACUUUAGAGGUGGCCGCCGUUACAAAACACACCUAAAGAUACACAAAGAGAGAUAGAGUUUUGGGAGAGGUCGGGCUAAUUUUGGGGGGAGAGUUUUGUAAAUUUCGGGGUUGGGGUUGGGGGAAAUGGCUGGGGGAGAUUCACAAAACGAGGGAAAACUUUUGGCUGUGCCGGAUUUUCAAUAUUUCAUCGAAGGCUAAAUUAAUAUUUUAUCGUAUUUGACUAAAAAUUCACACACUAAAAGAAACUAAAUUGUUUUAAAAUUAUUUUAAUCAAUAUUAACACGUUGAAAUAACAUCCAUACAGUUUGGAUCGUCUAAAAUACUUUUUUUAAGAUUAGUUUCAUAUUUCGUAUAAAUAUUCUAUUAAAGACUAAGUAAUUUGACCUCAUAUGACUAUAAAAUUCAUACACCAAAUUAAAGGCUAAUUUUUUUUCAAAAAAUUUAAUCAAUAUUAUCACGUUACAAUAACAUCUGUAUGGUUAGAUCGUAAAAAAUAAUUUUCAAAAAAAUAGUUUCGUGUUUCAGGUAAGUAUUCGAUUAAAGGCUAAGUAAUUUGAACGCAUUUGACUACAAAAUCCACACACCAAAUAAAAGGCUAUUUUUUUUAUAAAAAAAAUAAUCAAUAUUAUCACGUUACAAUAACAUUUGUACGGUUGGAUCAUCCAGAAUGAUUUUUAAAAAAAUAAUUUCAUGUUUCGUGUAAGUAUUUCAUUAAAGGCUAAGUAAUUUGACUGCAUUUGAAUACAAAAUCCACACACCAAAUGAAAGGCUAAAUUUUUUCAAAAAAAAAUUUAAUCACUAUUAUCACGUUACAAUAAUAUCCGUACGGUUGGAUCGUCCGAAAUGAUUAAAAAAAACAGUUUCAUGUUUCGGAUAAGUAUUCGAUUAAAGGCUAAGUAAUUUGACCUCAUUUGAUCGCAAAAUCCACACACCAAAUAACAGACAUAUUUUCUUAAAAAUUAUUUUAACCAAUAUUAACACGUUAUAAUAUCAUCUGUACGGUUGGAUCGUCCAAAUCAUUUUUAAAAAAAAUAGUUUUUAUGUUUCGGGUAAGUAUUCCAAUAAAGACUAAGUAAUUUAAUUGCAUUUGACUACAAAAUCCACGUACCAAAUAAAAGGCUAUUUUUUAAAAAUUUUUAAUCAAUAUUAUCAUAUUACAAUAAUAUCUAUAUAGUUGGAUCAUCAAAAAUAAAAAAUAUUUUUAUGUUUCGGGUAGGUAUUCGAUCAAAGGCUAACUAAAUUUACCGCAUUUGACUACAAAAUCCACAUACCAAAUAAAAGAUUAACUUUUUUUAAAAUUUUUUAAAUAUAAAAUUUCUAGUUAAGAAUGUAAUAUAAAAUUUCUUGUUAAAAAUGAGCCAAUUAACAAUUAUGUUACAUGUAUAAAUUCAAGAAAAUUACUUAAUAUUUACAAUACAUAUCGAAGCCCAUAAUAUUUUUGGCCUUUUCCAACAACCCAAAUCAAUUUAAUCAGCUAGAGCCCAUUGGGCUUUAGCAUGACACACGUGUCAACUAAGAGACUGGAAUUGUAUUCGUGUAUGUGCUCAUGUAGUGUAUAUCAAUUGUUCAUGUAAAAGUAAAACCAAUAAUCAAUUACUAACGGAACUGUUGGUAUUUAUCAACGGAAUAUCAACGCACGUAAUAACAGAAGCUUUGGUUACCAGUCUGUUGCUCAUUCCUUGGCAUUUUGUUACUAUUCCAUUGUGUGGCUAUAAUUCCUAACGGAACCUCUCGUUGGUAAAUAAGCGUGGGUAUUUCGUCGCGACUUGGUUGGCAGAACAUUGACUAGUCAAAUCGUUACAAAUCCGUUGGGAACUACCAACGGACUAAUUUUCCUUAGGAAAUUCCAUUGGUAGAAACGCUUUCUCUUGUAGUGUUGGGACCGAAACCCAAGAAUAACACAUUUUUUGGGAAUUUUUUUUUUUACAAAGUGGACACUUAAAAUGAGAUGGAGACGGUUUAAAAGCUGUAAUAUGAGACUAAUGAAGUGGAAAGAAAGGGCAGAGAGUAAAUAAAUCGACCUGUUAAGGGCAACGAGGCGUUUCGUCUCCGGCAACUUCACGUGUUCCUCUUUAAAUGGUCUCUUUAUGCGGUCACUCAAAUACAAUCAUCAUCGUCAUCAUCAGUAUGAGUACUUACAUAUUCGUUUCCAGUAUUUGUUGUAUUGAAGGAAGUGAAAUUCUCUGCCUUGGGACACCCAACCAGAUCAAAAACCCUCAAAGCCCGCAUAUUGAAAACUAUGCUUUCAUCACGACCAAAACUUUUGAGGUUUGGCAGAUCUUCAAGUUUAAUACAGCCCAGUCGAGGGAGUGUGAUAGUCUUGUCAUUUGUGUCGUCACCCCUUGCAUGUUCCACAAUGACUUCUAACGAUAUACAAUUUGAUACUCUCAAAGAUUCGAGUUGUUGGAGAUUCCUGAAAACAGAGCACGUGAAGAGAGUAGAGAAUCCACAGUUAUCAGCUUCCAUUCUCUCUAAAGCCGGCAUAUAGCAGUCGUAAUUUGCACCGUGGAUGAAACUCUUGAGGGCUGGCAAAUUCUCGAGUGUAAGUGACGAGAGUUUUGGGAGGCCAAAAGUUUCAUCUCCGCUGGCAUACUCAAAGAUGCCUUCCAACAUUCUGCAAUUUGAUACUCUCAAAGAAUGGAGUUUUGGGAGAUUCCUGAAAACAGAGCACGUGAAGAGAGUAGAGAAUUCACAGUUAUCAACUUCCAUUAUCCUCAAAGCCGGCAUAUAGCAGUCGUAAUUUGCACCGUGGAUGAAACUCUUGAGAGCUGGCAAAUUUUUGAGUUGAAGUGACCAGAGUUUUGAGAGGGAGAGAAUAAUCUUUUCAGUCGUACCAGAAGUUUCAUCUACGCUGGCAUACUCAAAGAUGCCUUCCAACAUUCUGCAAUUUGAUACUUUCAAAGAUAGGAGUUGUUGGAGAUUCCUGAAAACAGAGCACGUGAAGGCAGUAGAGAAUCCACAGUUAUCAACUUCCAAGUUGAGCAAAGCCGGCAUAUAGCAGCGGUAAUUUGCACCGUGGAUGAAACUUUUGAGGUCUGGCAAAUUUCUGAGUUCAAGUGACCAGAGUCCUGAGAGGGAGACAAUAAUCUGUUCAGUCGUACCAGAAUUUUCAUCUCCCCUUGCAUACUUAAUGAUGUCUUCCAACAAUCUGCAAUCCUGUACUUUCAAGUGUGUUAGACUUUGUAGACUUCCAGAAGCUGAGCACGUGAACAGAGAAGAGAGCCCACAAUUACUGACUGAAACAGUGGAUAAAUCUGGCAGAAGUAUGCACUCAUGAUUGGUACCAUAGAUAAAACUCUUGAGCUUUGGUAGAUCUUUAAGAGUAACUUCAUAAAGAUUAGAGAGUGUAAUAGUCUUCUUGUUCAUGCCAGAAACCUCAACCUCCACAAUUUCUUCCAAAUGAGCACACCUUGAUAUAUUCAAAGAUCUGAGAAUUGUGAACUCUGAGAAUGAAAAAAGAUUAGAGAGUCCACAAUUCUCAACUUCCACUUCCCAUAAAGACGGGACACGGCACCCAUAAUUUGCUCCAUGAAUAAUACUUUUCAGCUCUGGUAAAUUUUUUAGAACAACUCUCUGUAGGUGAGAGAGCGUGAUAGUCUUCUUAUUGAUGCCAGAUAUUUUGUCAUACUCUGCAAUUUCUUCCAAGAAAGCACAAUCUGAAAUUUCUAGUUGUCGGAGUUGUUGUAGACUUCUAAAGCCUGAGAAUGUGAAAAGAGCAGCGCCUCCAGAGUAUCUGCGAACUUUAAGCACCUUCAGCACUGGGAACUGUAAAGAUUUGAGCUCAUGCGACCAACACCCACUCAAAAAGAGUGUUUCCAGAUUAUGUAAUCGAGGUUGCCAUGUAGACGGAAGUUGCAUCUCCUCAUCACAACUUAUAUCCAAGCUCUUUAGUUGGCUGCUGAACUCUAUCAAUUCCAGCUUAAUUUCCUUGCAACUGCGAAUUUCAAGUUUCAUUACAUUUGGAAAUUCAACCUGCAAAAUAAAUAUUUUUCAUUUUGUCAACUUUAUGCUGAGAACGUUUCUUUUAUUUGCUUGAUAAUAAUAAUAUUAUAAAUAGAUAAUUUAUAAUUUAUAAUUUGAAAUUAUAUAUUAAUAAUGAGAGGCUUAAACUUAACUUGUUAUAGAAAGUUAUCAUCCGACCAAUACAAAGAUAUAUAAUAUCAUUUUUUUCUAAAUAGAGAAAUAAUAAAUAUGAAAAAUAUAAUUUGUGAUUAAAUAUUAAAAUUGUAAAAUUAUCAUAAUUAACAUAUAUUAAUAUGAGAAAAACAUCCACGUGAUACUUUCACUACUCAUUUAUCAUAUAUAAAUAUAUUAUAAAUGCUAAAUAUCUAAGAGAAAAUAUAUUUUAAUAGAUGUUCUAAUACAAAAAUAUCUUACUAAUAAAAUGAUGUUUAAUUAUAUUAUAAACAAAAAAUAUUAGAAAAAUAGAUUCAAGCUAUUCUAGGUGCUCUAUAUAGUUGAAACUAAUAAUUAUAUUUAUUUUUAUGAUUUCCAUUUCAGUUAUUUCUUUUUAAAUAAUUAUUAUAUAAUUUUUAGGAAUCAUAUUUCUUAUUUGUUCUAAUUUUUUGUUACUUAUUAAUAGGAAUUCUAUAAAUGUUUUAACUUUUAGUUGAAAAUAAGAAUUUCAUUUCAUUUUAUUAGCUUUUAUGUUGUCAAGGAGAAAAUUUUAUAUUUCUUUUUCGGUUCCUAUUUGUUAGCUUUUAUUAUACUAAUGACAGUUGAUUUAAUAAUAUAAUCAUUAUUUUUUCAUAAAAUUAAAAUUUAAUUAUUAACUUUAAAUUUUGUGAAUAAUAAUAAUUAUAAUAUUAUAAUCAGACAAUCAAUUUUAAAAACAACUUUUUUAUCAAUAAAACUAUAUAAUAUAACUACAUUAUUUAAUUUCUAUAAUGAAAUAGAGGAGCAAAUUUACAUAUUUUUCUAAUAAGCGUAUAAACCUCCUUAUAAAAAUUCUCCUGAAAAGUUAUUAUUUCCAACAUUAAUUUGGCCCAUUCCACCUACAUUUUUCUCUUGGAGAGCAGUAACAUAAAAAUAUUUUGAAUUAUAAGUCGUUUGACUUUUUUUCACGUAUUUUUAAGUCUUUUGACUGUAUACUAAAAGUCAUUAUUUUUGAAAUUUUCUUUUUUUGAAUAAAAAUAUAUGAUUGAUAUUAUAAUCCAAAUAAAGAGAAUUUCAAAAAAAAUGAUUUUAAGUAUACGGUCAAAAGACUUAAAAAUACGUGAAAAAAGUCAAACGACCUAUAUUUCAAAACCGAGGGAGUAUAAAGAGUGGUGUUGGGUGCACAAAAUUGUGUGCAGAAAUUUUGUACAUGAUGUGAUAAUUAAUUGUCUUGAUGUAAAUACAGGGCCCAAUCUAAUUAAAACUUACCACAUGUCAUUUUGUAUAAAAUUUUGGACACAUUUAUAUGCACCAAACACUGCUAACAUAAAAAAUUGAAGAAAUGAAUAUAAAUAUAGUACCUUGUAGGUAUCAAUUUCCUCACCACAAAAGCUGGUCAAGUUUGGCAAAAGCUCUAACCGUAAACACGUCAAUUCUGGAAAGACUAAGACAUCAUUGAUUUCUCCUUGCUUAGCUUCCCCCACGAUCCUCUUCAUCUUCUUGCAGUUUCCUACAAUAAUUUCCUCAAGGUGCAUAACAUCUCUGGGAACCACGUUUGUAAGGCUAUGACAAUCGUUUAUCUCUAGUUUUUUGAGAUUUGGGUACAGGUUCCCUGACUUCAACCCUGUCUCCGUUAAACAAGGCAAUCCAUUUAGAUACAAAUGACUUAAAGCUGGCAAUCGGCUUACAUCUAUGUUGCUAGCAUCUGUGCCUACUCCAGAGAUCAAUGAACUACAAUCACUUAUUCUUAAGGAUUGCAGAUUCGAUAGCUUAUGCAACAUGACAACUGGAAUUAUUGUUUGCAAUCUACUAAAGCCUUGUACUGAGAUGCUUCUUAGUUUGCAAAAAGAGGAUUCGCAGUUGUAAUCCCUCUCCCAAAUAUCACUUGUAUCUUUUACAUUUUCGAUUUUCAAAUCUUUCAAUGAAGGGAAUUCAACCUGUUGAUAAUUGAACACCAAAAUUCACUGUUAUCCUACUACAAACUUUGGAACUUAAAUGCAUAGGCAUAAAACACAAAUGAGAUUUAUUUUACUUUUGUAGACAGAGAUAUAUAGUAAUAAUUAAAUUCAAACUAUUAUAUAAAAUCAUAAAAUACACAUAACCAAUUGUGCAUGACAUUACCCACUCCGCAACCAUGUCUGACCCACUCAAUCUAAUACGACCAGCCCUCAAUUAUGCUCUAGACAAGCACAAAAUGACAAAAACAAACGCUUAAUCUUCCCGGUCCCACCCAGACCCCAACUAUACCCAUCUGGGGAGCCACAAUCGGGCUAUUCACGAACCGAGUUAAGCCAAGCCGGGUUAAUUUUUUCCUGACGAGCCGAGUUUUAAGUUUUUUUUUUUCUGACGAGCCGAAAUUUUUUAUCAAACAAAAAUUGUGUUCGAACUCGAGCUCAUUAACUUGUUCGCGAACAAAUACAAGCCGAGCCGAGCCAGAAAAAAAUAAGGUCAAACCGCUAGUUGAUGCUUAAAAUAGCUAACCAAAUAAUUUUUUUUUUUUUUUUUUGAAACUUUGGUUAUUCCACUAAAGGCUUAAUGACCUUUUAGCCUUCAAAGUAUGGGUGGAAAUUCCGAUGCGGCCUCGAAGUUUAAAAACGUACCUUUCGACCCUCAAAGUAUCUUUGUCGUACCUUUUAGCCCUUUUUUAAAAAUACCGGUAUAAAUCAGAGGAUAAACUUGACAAUUCAUAUCCGGGGUAAAGUUUGGGUGUACCUUUUAACCCUUAAAGUAUACAUCUCGUUCUUUUUAACCCCUAAAGAAUACAUUAAAAUACAUUAGAUCUUCUUUUUAACCCUUAAUGUUUAAUGCCCCUUUUAACCCUCACGUGUGAAAUAUCAACUUUGUCCACCCUGUUAUAUACCGAUAUACGCCAUAAGGGUUAAAAGGUAUGACAAAAAUACAUUGAGGGUCGAAAGAUACGUUUUUAAACUUCGAGGACACAUCGAAACUUCCACCCAAACUUCAAGGGCUAAAAGGUCAUUAAGCCUUCACUAAAAUGUAUAUAUGUUAACAUUCAUACGGUUGGAUCGGUAAAAAAUAUUUUUUAAAAUAUGGAAACACCAAAUUAGGAUUAAACACUAGUUAGCGGUACUAGUCAAACCUCUACUUGAUUGUUAAAAUAGCAAUACAAAUAAAAUUAUUAUUUCCCGAAACUUUGGUCACAUAACUAAAAUCUAUAGAUAUAUUACAUAUUGAAUUCUGAUUUCAAUAUAACACACACACACACACACACACAUAUAUAUAUAUUAUAAAAACCCCCAAAAAAUAUUACAUUUUUCGAGUUUUAACGAGCCGAACUUGAGUCGAACAAGCUUGAGCCGAACAUACUAAAAGCUCGGCUCGAGCUCAUUUUCUUAACGAACUAUUUUUUGUGUUCGAGCUCGAGCUCUUAACGAGCCGAGCUCGAGUUUAUUCGCGAACAGCUCGGUUCGUUAAACACCCCUAACCACAACCCUACACAUCCUUUUUAAAACAUUAAAAAUAUUAAAUUAUAACUUUUACAAUAUUAAUUUAUAAGAUAUAAACAACUAUAAAAUGAAAAAUGAUAAUUACAUUAUAUUUGAUAUAAAAUUAUUCAAGUUAAAUAACUAUAAUAAAUAAAAAUAAUAAAAAAAUUAAUCAUUUAAGAUUUAACCGUUAUUUGCACAUAAUAUUUUUUGUUUAAAUUUUGAUAUGUAAUUAUUAAACAACCAAAAUAUUAAUAAAAAUAAGUGCUUCAAGGAUGACUAGAAAAGUAAAGGGUGGAGCGUACCAUAUUAUGGAAUAGAGGUUGAAACUGAGCAGAGGGCUGCAUCAUGGCGUCUUUAUUUUCACUGCAGAAGCUGCCGAGUCUCGGCACUUUGCUUAGCUCCAAUUCUUCUAAAUUGGGAAAGUGUAUGAUAUCUCCCUUGCUUGAGCCAUCAUUCAUUACUAUUGCUUCCAUCGCAGGGCAAUCUCUUAUUAUCAACUUUUGCAGCUGGGUGAGACGUUUUGCAACAGAGUUGCAGAAGAGGUAUCUUAAACCGGAGCAUUCUUUAAUUUCUAAACAGGUUAGAUUAGAAAAAGAUGUCUGCUGGCUAUGCUGAAUCUCACCCUGUGACAUCCUUGCCAGAUACUUCAUUUUGUUACAUUCUUCGAUGUAAAGCUUUCUCAAUUCUGUGAAUGCUUCCCGGUUGCUAUCGAAGAUAUUACUGAUCACAUUAAUAUCAGUGCGCUUCAAACUCACAUAUUCAGCCUUCUUUAUCAGACUAUUCAAGCUUUCUUCACGAUAGUCUUCCAAUUCAACCGAUGUCUUGUAAGACAGAUCUGCACUUGGGAGUCGAGAGUCUUGACAAGAUCCUUGUAACAGAACAUGUAACGGAAUCCACGGAAGAUGGUGUCAACUGCAGCAUCAGAUAUUCUGUCCACAAGUUUCCCCACGAAUGGAAUGUCAGAUAAACCAACCAUGAUUCUUACUUGCUUCUAAUUUUUUUUCCUGUAAUUGUGUAACAAGAUGCAGUAGAACAACUUAAAAUGCAAUUAAAGAAUAAGAGGGGAGAAGAAAAGGAGCAAACGGAACAGGAAGUCAAGCUGAGCACAGUGGAAAACUUUAAAAGAUGCAAAAGUAAAUGCCUAACACACAUAUAUAAUUAAGUAGUAAUUUAAGAUGCACAGUGGAAAGCUACUUUAAAUCAAAUAGUAAAAUUAAAAGAUGCACGGUGGAAAACUUUGCUGGACAAUAAUUCUCCCAACAUUAUUGAGUUUCAAAAGGUAUAAUUUAAGUAAGGAUUGGAUCCCUAACACACAUAUAUAAUUAAGUAGCAUACGUUUACCGGAGAAAAAUUUAUGAAAAAUUACUUAUAGGUUUCACGUCCAACGCUUUUUUCACAAUGAACAUAUGCUACUAUUAUAUCUUCUGGACUACCCUUUAAGUAAAUGGUAGACCAAUUGAGUUUCAGAAAGCAUCAAUCUAAGUAAAUGGGUGGACCAAAAAAGCUCUGCGGCAGCCUUGUUUUCUUAUCGUUCCAGCUAGUCAAAAUACAUUAAGAGCAUUUUUGUUUAAACUUUUAAGUUAAAGUUAAAGUUUCUACACGCGGUUUAAAGUUAAAGUUAAAGUUAAGAGCAGAAGAGCAGCAAGAAUGAGUGGUGGAUUCUCACUCUCAAGUUAAAGUUUCUACACGCGGUUUAAAGUUUAAACCGUACGUCUACACUUACGAGGUCUUGUCCUGUUGUCAUUUUGCAUAGCUUGGUGAAUCGGACUAUGGCACGGUGUUCUGUUGUUCAGUUUUCGUUGUUGAAUGGUGUACUGCCUAAGGACACAGCCUUAAAAAUUUUUACUAAUUGAAGUUUGGGAGGGUUAGGUUGUCCAAGUAUUUUAACUUCAUGGUCGGAUGUUAUUUUGAGUUUUAUAAAACUUGUUUCACAUGCAAUGCAAUCAAUUCUCCUUUGUAACUCAUUCAAGGUUGCAACAAUUUGUUUAUGUCUCAGAUGUAAUUUCAAAAAUGUUUGGUAAAACAACUGCAGUAGUUAGUUACUCUGCAGUGCUCGAUCAUCACCUCGGUGAUACAGUUUCCAUUACUGGUAUUGGGUAAUAAACAGAUUGGUGCUCAUUUUGGACUAGUUGAUGAAUUAUACAUUCACACAUUUGGACUACUCGAACGCUAGUAAUCUUUAUUUAUAGCCUCCUUUUUAAUAUUUCUUCAUAAAGGGAUAAUUAAAUUAUAGCUCCAUGAACUAUUGACGUUUUAUUGUGUAGGUUCGUGAAUUAAAGAUUCGGUAUUUUAGGUCACUUAACUUUUCUGUUUUCUUAUCUAAGUCCUUCCGUCAAAAAGAUUCUAACGGUGUUAACUAGGGUUCUUGACGUUACUACGGAUCCAAACAAUUUUGAGGGUGUUAGUGAUAUCCAAAUUUAAAGUUCAAGUAGUCAAAUUAAAGCUUGAAUCACUAGCGACACUCAUAUGACACCAAUUUUCACAAAUUGGAUUUAAUUUAGAAAACCCUAAACUAGACCAUAAAUUUAGGGUUUUUGAUCGAAUCCAGGGACUUAAAUUUAUAAUUUUUUUGAAUUGGAACUAGUUUGUGAAAAUUGAUAUCAUAUGAGUGUCGCUUGCGACUCAAACUUCAAUUUGACUACUUGAACUCUAAAUUUGGAUAUCACUAACACCUUCAAAAUUGCUUUAAUCUGUAUGAAACUCAAGAAACCUAUUUAACACCGUUAGAAUCUUUUGACGGAAAGAUCAGAAAACAGAAAAGUUAAGUGAUCAAAAAUACGGAAUCUUUACGGAAUCUUUUGUUUAGGGACAUAAAACGUCAAUAGUUCAGAAACUUAUAAUUUAAUUUUUCCUAUAAUUGACAAGAUGUUUAUGUAAAUAUAUUUUUAUUAGGUGUUUAAAUAAGUAUUUUAUUUAAGUAAGUUAAACCCAUUAAAAAUCUAAGUAAAAAUUUGAAUGAACAAAUAUUUUUCUUCCUUUUCACGCUACUUUUACUCUCAUAUCUCCUUUUUAUACUUUAAAAUCAAUGGUCGACCAUUACUUCACCAUUUUUUUUUCUCUUUUUCACUAUUUUAUGCAUAUUUCUUAGUCUUCUUAUCCAAACCAAACGUAAAAAAUUGGCUAGGACCAACAUUUGCGAGUGAAAAUGCAACUUCUUAUGGAAUUUUUGAAACAAAUGCACUUAAAUAUACGUGCACAAAGUCUAGAUUGCUAUGUUAACAAUUCUUAUAUUUUACUUUUUACAAAUAAUUUUGAUUUAAUAUUCAAUUUUAUUUUAGAGAUUUUGGUAUUAAAAAUAAAUAUAUCUUUUAAUCAAAAUAUUUUAAAUGGGGACUAUUAAUGUGAUUUUUAAAAUAAAGCUUUUAAAAAUAAAAUAUUUUGCUUUGACAUUUGAAUCACCUUUUUUUAUCAAGAAAAUUGAUUUCAUUAGUUUUCAACAAGAAACAUAUAUGGGUUAAGGGUUAAGGGUAGCUCUAGCUCAGUAGUAGAGUUUUGCGUUUAUGGUGUCCUAGUUCUUGGAUUCGAUUCUCAGCCAGAAUACUCAUUAGUAUCUUUAGGCUUAUGAAAAAGAGAAAAAAAGAACAAAUAAUACUUCAUUAGAAAUGUGCUGUACAGGCUCACAAGGCGUUUCAUCUCCGGCACGGCCAAGUCUUCCUCUUUAAAUGGUCUCUUUAUCUUGUCAUUCAGAUUGUGAAAUUCAUCCCCAUCGGUUCUACAUUCCCGUUUCCUAAAUUCAAGCAAGUGAAAUCCUCUGUCCUGGGACACCCAAGCACACCAAAAUAUCUUAGCAGGGGCAUGUUGAAAUCAUAGCUUUCAUCACGGCCAAAACUUUUGAGGUUCGGCAGAUCUUCAAGAUAAAUAACCCCGAGUAGAGGGAGUGUAAUAGUCUUGUCACUUAUGUCGUCAACCCUUGCAUCUUCCACAAUGACUUCUAACAAUCUGCAAUUUGAUACUUCCAAAUAUCCGAGUCGUUGGAGAUUACUGAAAACAGAGGACGUGAAAAGAGUAGAGAAUCCACAGUUUUUAACUGCAGAGAUUCCAAAGCCGGCAUAUAGCAGUUGUAAUUUGCACCGUGGAUGAAACUCUUCAGGGCUGGCAAAUCUCUGAGUCGAAGAGAUUCGAGUUUUGAGAGUGUGAUAAUCUGUUCAGUCGUACCAGAAGUUUCAUCUCCACUGGCAUACUCAAAGAUGGCUUCCAACAUUCUGCAAUUUGAUAAGCUCAAAAAUCGGAGUCGUUGGAGAUUCCUGAAAACAGAACACGUGAAGGCAGUAGACAAUCCACAGUUAUCAACUUCCAUAUUCCACAAAGCCGGCAUAUAGCAGUCGUAAUUUGCACCAUGGAUGAAACUUCUGAGGUCUGGCAAAUUUCUGAGUUCAACCGAAGCCAGUUCUAAGAGGCAGAAAAUAAUCUGUUCAGUCGAACCAGAAGUUUCAUCCCCCCUCGCAUACUUAAUAAUGCUUUCCAACAAUCUGCAAUCCUUUACUUUCAAGUAUGUUAGACUUUGUAGACUUCGAGAGGCUGAGCACAUGAAAAGAGAAGAGAGCCCACAAUUACUGACUGAAACAUCCGAUAAAUUUGGCAGAAGUAGGCACUCAUGAUUUGCACUGUAGAUUAAACUCUUGAGCUUUGGUAGAUCUUCAAGAGUAACUGAUUCCAGCUGAGAGAGUGUAAUAGUCUUCUUGUUCAUGCCCGAAACCUCAUCCUCCACAAUUUCUUCCAAAUGAGCACACCUUGAUAUCUUCAAAGUUUUGAGACUUAUCAACUCUGAGAAUGAAAAAAGAUUAGAGAGUCCACAAUUCUCAACAUCCACUUCCCUUAAAUAUGGGACAAGCCACCCAUAAUUUACUCCAUGAAUAAUACUUUUCAGCUUCGGUAAAUUUUUUAGAACAACCAUCUGCAGGCGAGGGAGCGUGAUAGUCUUCUUGUUCAUGCCAGACAUUUGGUCAUCGUCCGCAAUUUCUUCCAAGAAAGCACAAUCUGAAAUUACUAGUGCUUCGAGAUUUUGCAGACUUCUAAAGCCUGAUAAUGUAAAAAGAGCAGAGCAUCCAGAAUAUUCGAAAACCAUAAGCAAUUUUAGUCUGUGGAACCUUAAAGAUUUGAGGUCAUGCGACCAACACUUCCUCAAAAUGAGUAUUUCCAGAUUAUGUAAUCGAGGUUGCCAUGUAGAUGGAAGUUCUAUCUCCUUAUCACAACUUAUAUCCAAGUUCUUUAGUUGGUCGCUGAACUCUAUCAAUUCCAGCUUAAUUUCCUUGCAACCGCUAAUUUCAAGUGUGACUACAUUUGGGAAUUCAACCUACAAAAUAAAUACCUUUCAUUUUGUCAACUUUAUGAACGUUUCUUUAAAUAACAACUUUGUUUAUCAAAUAAAACUAUACAAUAUAACUAAAUUAUUUAAUUUCUAAUAAUGAAAUAGAGGAGCAAGUUUACAUAUUCUUCUAAUAAGUGCAUAGACAUCUUUAUAAAAUAAUUUAUUGGUUCCAACUAUGAUCUAAUUAUUAGAUCAAAAGUUAGUUAAAUCAAGCAGUAAAAUUACCUUCUCAACAUUCUCCAAAAUAAAAAUAUAUAUAUAUUAUUUCAAACAUUAAUUUCGCCUAUUCCGCCUACCGUUUUCUAUUGCAGAGUAGUACUUUCUAUUGCAGAGUAGUACUUCCUCCGUCCCAUUAGAUUGUUAACGCUCACCGUUUGCACGCAUUUUGAGACUCUUAGAAAGUAUAAUUCUAUAAUGUUUUUUUAAUUUAUUUAUUUUCUGAAUAAAAGUUUAAAUGUCAAACUUUUAUUUAGAAUUUUAAAAAAAAAAAAAUAUCAUUGAGACUAUAUUUUAAAGAGAUCUUAAAAAGCAAGCUAAAAAGUGAUGUUAACAAUCAACGGGACGGAGGGAGUAACUACUAACAAAAGAAUAUAGAAAAUUGAAGAAAUGAAUAUGAAUAUAGUACCUUGCAGGCAUCAGUUUCCUCACCACAAAAGCUGGUCAAGUUUGGCAAAAGCUCUAACCGUAAACACAACAAUUCUGGAAAGACUAGGACAUCAUUGAUUUCUCCUUGUUUAGCUUCCCCCACGAUCCUUUUCAUCUUCUUGCAUUUUCUUACAAUAAUUUCCUCAAGGUGCAUAACAUCUUUGGGAACCACGUUUGUAAGGCUAUGACAAUCGUUUAUCUCUAGUUUUUUGAGAUUUGGAUACAGGUUCCCUGACUUCAACCCUGUCUCCGUUAAACAAGGCAAUUCAUUCAGAUACAAAUGACUUAAAGCUGGCAGGCCGCAUACAUCUAUGUUGCUUGCAUCUGUGCCCACUCCGGAGAUCAAUGAACUACAAUCACUUAUUCUUAAGGAUUGCAGACUCGAUAGCUUAUGCAACAUGACAGCUGGAAUUAUUGUUUCCAAUUUACUAAAGCCUUGUAAUGAGAUGGUUGUUAGUUUGCAAAAAGAGGAUUCAGAGUUGUAAUCCCUCUCCCAAAUAUCACUUGUAUCUUCCACAUUUUCGAUUUUUAAAUCUUUCAAUGCAGGGAAUUCGACCUGUUAAUAAUUUCACACCAAAAUUUACUGUUAUCCUAAUAAAAACUUGGGAGAUUAAAUGCAUAGGCAUAAAACACAGAUGAAAUUCAAUUUAAUUUUGUAGACAAUCAAUUUUAUUAAACAAUCAAAAUAUUAAUAAAAGUAAGUGCUCCAAGGAUGAUUAGAAAAGUAAAGCGUGUAGCAUACCAUUCUAUGGAAUAGAGGUUGAAAUUGAGCAGAGGGCUGCAUCAUGGCGUCUUUGUUUUUACUGCAGAAGCUUCUGAGUCUCGGCACUUUGCUUAGCUCCAAUUCUUCCAAAUUGGAGAAGUGUAUGAUAUCUCCACUGCUUGAGCCAUCAUUCAUUACAAUUGCUUCCAUCACAGGGCAAUCUCUUAUUAUCAACUUUUGCAGUUGGGUGAGACAUUUUGCAACAGAGUUGCAGAAGAGGUAUCUUAAACCCGAGCAUUCUGUAAUUUCUAAACAGGUUAGUUUAGAAAAAGAUGUCUGCGGGCUAUGUUGAAUCUCAUCCUGUGACAUCCUUGCUAGAUGCUCCAUUUCGUUACAUUCUUUAAUGUGCAGCUCUCUCAAUUCUGUGAAUGCUUCCGGGUUGCUAUCAAAUAUACUACCAAUCACAUUAAUAUCAAUGUGCUUCAAUUUCACAUAUUCAGCCUUCUGUACCAGACCUUUCAAGCUUUCUUCAUGACAGCCUUGCAAUUCAAUCGAUGUCUUGUGAGAGAAAUGUGCUCCUUCUUGAGGUGACUCACCCACACAAAUUUUAAAUAAUGUUAGAUUAUCAAAUAUAUUAGUAUUUUGAAAAGGCUCAGAUAUUUUAAAUUUUAUGUGCAAACUUUUCAAGUGGGUUAGUUGAUUAAUCUCGACCAAAAUAGGUUUCGCCACAGCAGAACUAUCAUCACUCCAAAUCUCAAAUCCAUCAGGUAUAUGCAAUUCUUCCAGCCUGAAUAGGCUGGAUAUGGUAUUUGGCAUGAUUUUCACUCUCAGCCCAAUGAUUUC